rnacentral:lncRNA from 1 species
GGGUUUUUGCAGAUUUUCAAAUAAAACUCAGAGAUUCCUUGUAUGAUUCUCUCAGGUCUCUCUUUUGUGGUAUUUUUGGAUCCUUACCAAGGCAUUGAUGGUAUAUGCCUUCUCUCAAGAUAUGUGGUAUUUGGGGUAUAAGGCAUAGUGACAUUGCCUUCUCUCUCAUCCUACUCUAAUAAGGCUUUAAUAUCUGGAGCUCAUAGGUGGGAGAUAAAGUAUACAUACUUACAAGACAUGUAUUGCAUAGUCAAACCAUGGAUCCAAAGUAACAAGUCAAUAAGUUUAAUCAAGAUGUGCAUGUGUGGCGAAUGAAUGGUAUAUGGUGAUGAUGGUGAUAACAAUGGUGAAAACAAUGGUGAAAACAAUGGUGAAAACAAUGGUGGUGAAAGUCUAAUUCUACUUUGCUCUUUUGAGGGGAUACAUACCUUCCUUGCUUUUGAAACUUUAUGAGGAGAAUGAGAUGCUCUUCUUUUUCUUUUCUCUCAGGUGGGUAUCUUGCACCCUUAAUUCUACUGUCGGACACUUGUCCAUUUUUACCUCUCGUCUCACUUUUUCUUUUCUUUCGAGGUUCCGAGCACUUGCUCCUUUUUAUUUCCUCGUAUUAUUUUCUCUCUCUCUCUUUUUUUAGAGCACUCAUCUCUUGAGAUAAUAUAGCAAGUGGUAGUAAUAAGAUAACUUGAGCAUUUAUUUCACAAGGGAAAACAGAAAUAUUUUUGGUUAUUCUCUCCCGGAUUAGGAGUAGAAUAUUUUUAGGUGGUUCUGGAGAUGGAAUGGGUGGAUAUAUGUGGAUGGUACUUCCGGAGUAGAAGUAGCAUAUAUGAGUGAACGUGCAAGUGAAAUCUUGAUUUAACCACAUGACAAGCUCCUAAGGGUCUACACAGCUUGACCACACUCAAUGCUCAUAAGCAGUAAAUAGUAAAUGUGUGGCUCAAAGUCUAGCAAGCAUGUAUAUAUGGCUGUGGUAGGAAUUUAAACUCUCAUCAUACAGGAACUCAUCAUGCAACAUUUUAAAGAUUUUCAAAGAUAAAAUUCUCCAGAAUUCUAGCAUCUCUAGGAAUAGAUAAACAGCAGCUUAGCCUUUCCAUAUCGUAUCCGUUAACAACUUAGACUUCAGAUCAAGUUUUCAUCCCACAAGUUUAGGUCUAGGGCAAGCUUUAAAUUAUAACAGUUAUGUCUAAACUUGAGAGAGAACUUAAAAUGUGCAAAUUAGGUAGAGCAACUAUUCAUCAUAUCCAGGCUUAAGUUUUAUUAGAUACAGAUUAGCAUAGCCACUUUAUUUAUUAAUUAAACACACUAAGUAAUAUAUAUAUAUAAGCAUAAAAUCUUUAUUUGGUUUUCCCAUAGUUUAUGUGUAUUAAUAUUCUAAAAUAAUAUAAGUAUAAAGAUAGAUAAAAAUACUUAUCGGGAUAAAUGGGGGUGCUCUCCCCCAAGCUGAAUUUUGACGUAAUUUCUCUUGAUAUAGCUAGCAGGUGGCAGAGGUGUAGUUGAAAGUCAGCAGCAUUCUGACAGCGAUUAGAAUGUCCUCCGUCUGCUAGUCUUCAUGAAUUCUUAAAUUCUGUGGAGCUCAAAUAGACAACAAAGCUUGUGGAACUGAUUAAGUGUUAGCAUAAAUAUCUAACCUUUAUCAUCUUGAGACUCCUUAAUAAUUAUUACUCCCUGUUUUUAUAUUUUUAUUUUAUAAAGCAGAAAAAUAUUUAUUUUAUUUUUAUGCCACCACAGUGAAUGUACGUAUGGGUUUUAUGCCACUCGUCUAUUCACAUGGGGCUUACUAUUUUUUACAUUUUUAUUUUCUUUUUAAGACAGUAUGAGCAUGUUUAACUAAGUAAACUAUUUAAAAUAACUGAAAGGGAAAGGAUAACUACCAAGUUUACCUCUUGGCAAGGCGUUCGGUGUUUUUAAGUCCUCCGAACGGGACUCUCCAUUUUCUCAAUCGUCCUGAGGUCCGUUGGGUGGCGUAGUCGGUACUUCCGGCAGCGCCUCCUCUUCUUGUAUAGUUAUCUUCAUUUUCCAUACCUGACUCGGUGCUUCAAUCUCCUCUGGAUAAUUCUGUUUAAACUCUACGUUUUCUGACCUUACAACUUCUCCUUCAUAGUCUGCCCAUCCGUCCUUGAUGAUCUGCCUCCUCUGGUUGCGGUUGCGUCUCUUUCUGACCUGCUUAGAUUCUUCAACGAUAUAGUCAGGGUCAGUAAAAUAACGGCGUACCUUCUCUGAGGGGAAGUGCAUAUGGACUUCUCCGGUUCCAAUAUAGAUAAUUGCUUUAACGGUGCAGAGGAACGGUCUUCCAAGGAUGAUGGGUGGAUCAUAUUCAUCUUCUCCCAUGUCAACAACUUGAAAGUCUGUGUAGACAAAGUGAUCGUCUAUUUUGACUGGGACAUCAGAUACUAUUCCUUUAACUUCUCAAAAUGUCUGAUCUGCCAUCUGGAGUUGAAUGUAUGCUGGUCUUAGUGGCAUGGUUCCGAACAAGAGUCGAUAGGUGACUGCGGCCAUUAUGUUGACGCCUGAUCCGGUGUCGCAAAUCGUCUUGUAGAAGUUAUAUCCAUUUAUGGAGCAGUAGAUGCUUGGCAUUCCUGGGUCGUCUUUCUUGGCCAAAAACGGCGACUUAAGUUGAUGAUCUUGGCCUCCAUGGACUACAGUGACCAUCUUAGCUGACUUGGUCCACACUUGCUUGUUCCUGUUUCUCCUGUUGGUCCUCUUCCUUGAUUUACGUCUGGAUUGAUCUUGAAUUUGUGUAGUCUUGUUCUUGAAGAAAAAUAUCUCCUUCUUCCCUUUGACGUAGAAACUGAUCUUGGCAGCACUGGCGUAGAUGAUAGCUCCCGUCGUGUUCAAGAAUGGCCUCCCUAAGAUGAUAGGUGCUCUCUCAUCAUUUCCGGUCUCUACCACUACGAAGUCUGCUGGUGCAUACAAGGUACCAACUCGGACACAAAGGUUCUUCACUAUUCCUUUUGAAAAAGUUAUCGUCUGAUCUGCAAACUGCAAACACAUGGUUGUAUCUAAUAAAGGAUAUGUAAAGAAUUUUUCAUAGAGUACCCUGGGUAUAAUGUUGACACUGGAGCCAAAGUCACAGAGUGCUUCUGGGAAGUCCACCAUGCCGAUGGAGAUCGGGAUGACGGGGCGUCCUGGAUUGCCUCUCUUGACCGGCAGAAGGUCACUAGAGAAUUCAGUGAUGGGGUUACUCCAAUUACCUGCAUCAAACAUGUCUACAAGAUUUGCAGAUUCUAAUCCUUCCGGUUGUGAUGGUAUACCGGGGUUAGUAGUAGGAACAGCAGCAGCUAUUUGAUUUAACUGAGAUUCAAUCAUUUUAUUAAAGCUAAUUUGAUUCUUGAUGGCAGUAGAGAAAUUAUCCAUUCUAUUAUUUAUAUUUUCUAGUAUUUUAUCAUUAGAUGCCAAUUUCUUAGAUAGAUUAUCCAUUAGCUUUCCUUGAUUAGACACUAACUCUCUCAAAGGUGGAAAAUUAUUAUUAUUGUUGUAAGAAUUGUUACCUUGAUAAUUACCUGAGUAGUUAGGCCUCUGUUGAUUCCAACCUUGAUUUUGUUGAGGACGGUUGUAGUAGUUGUUGUUGUUGUUGAUGUAGUUCACAUCCUCAAGUAUCUCAGGGCAGUGGUUGCCUGAGUGUCCAGUGUCUCCACACUCCUCACAAGUCAUGUGAGAGUCGUAGGUGUGCAUAACUUCUUUCUUGUCUCCAGCUCUAUCAUUGAGCUUCUUCAUGAGCAGGUCUAGCUUUGCAGACAGCAUGUCUACCUCCUUCAGCUGAUGCAUACCUCCACCUCUCUUGCGUGUCUGGGUCCUCUCUUCAUUCCAGCUUUGAUUGGACGCCAUCUUCUCCACAAGAGCUGUGGCUUGUGGUAUAGUAAGUGAUAAGAAUGCUCCUCCAGCUGCAGCAUCCAUGGUCUCUCGGGCACUGUUGCUGAGCCCAUGAUAAAACGUCUGCAUCAAUAUCCAACUCUCCAUUCCAUGAUGGGGACAUUCUAGGAUGUAGUCUUGAAAGCGCUCCCAUGCUUCUGGAACAGAUUCAUCAUUUUGUUGCUGAAAACUUGUAAUCUUCCCACGGAGAGCAUUGGUCUUGCCCAUGGAAAGAACUUAGCCAGAAAGUUUGUUGAGCAGAGUGCCCACGUAGUAUUCUUCUCCUUUGUAGCGUAGAACCACUGCUUCGCUCUUCCUAACAGUGAGAAUGGGAAGAGGCGAAGUAGUAUAGCGUCUUUGGAAACUCCUGCUAUGGUGAAUGUGUUGCAAAUCUCCAGGAAGUGUUGUAAAUGAGCACUAGCAUCUUCGUGUGCCUUCCCACAGAACUGGUUGGAUUGCACCAUGUUGAUAAGUCCAGGCUUGAGCCCAAAGUUGCCAUCGAUCUCUGCAGCAGGUCCAGUGCGGAUGUUGUCCGUAGUGGGAGCUGAGAACUCGCGGAUUGAUUUGUUCGCCAUGGCUUCGAACUCUGAAGACAAGUUCCAGUGAUCUUCUUGAUUGGAUGAAGCUUCUUCGUGAAGUGUUGAUGAUUUCUUUAGCUUGGCUCUCGUCUUCUUGAAUAAUGCUUCGGGAUUGUCAACAAAAUUUCCUGGAAGAUGUCUUCUAUUCAUACAUUCCCCUGCAUAAGAUAAAAUAGAAAAAUAUCGGGGUAAAACUGUAUAAGAGAAUAGAUAAGCUCAAUCAUAUUAGUGAUGCGAAUGAUAACUCAAAAUCUUUUAUUCCAUUCCUGAUUGGUAAUCAACCUUCCCCGGCAACGGCGCCAAAAAUGCUUGUUGGGUAUUCUUAACAUCAUUACUAAAAGUAGACUAAGUUCUAAAUCUAGUAACGGUGCCAAAAAUGCCAAACCUAUCCCUUACACCACUUAAGCCAAGUUGUCAUCCCCAGCAUGAUAUAAGAGACGCGGUAUUGAAAUAUGCAAUUGCUCUUCUAAAUAAAUAAUGAAUGGGAUCUGCAAGCGCACAGAUUAAUACCGAUGUAGCAUUUUAACCGGGAAGUAUUCCAGGUAUCGUUAUUUAUAUUUUUACCACUGGGAAGGGAUUAGAAAUCAUCACUAAUGAUUACAGAAUAGAAUAUGAGAUUGAGCAUCUAUCAUUGCAUGUAUAAUUGAGAACAUUAUAUCUAACUCAUCAUACAGGGAUAAGUGUCACAUAAAAGAUAUAUGAAAUGAUAAUAGUGACAAGGAUAACUAAUCUGAUCUAGCCACAUAAUAAAUAUGGUAAGCACCUCAAUUAGAUACUCUAGAAAGUCAUUAGCAUGGUAUUAGAACGAACUACAAGAAUAUUCCCUAAGUUAUUCUCAACUAUAUAGUCUAGCAUAUCAUAGUUAGUGCAAGCAUACUUAGCAAUCAUUGCGAGACAAGACUACGCCCAUGCAUAGUGAUAUUAGCAAGGAAUAUGAGAAACAUAGCAAUCACUCCCCUGUAAUAAUGUUGCUCUGCCAGCCCAAUACACGAGAGGGGGACUAUAUAAGAAUCAAUGAAGCUGUCACUAUCACGAACUACCCCACGAUCUGGCAUAUUGGGUACAAUCGCAGAUAAAUACGGUAUAAGCACCACGCCUACACAAUAUCUAUCAUUUACCCAUGGAUCCGAUGGAUAAACGCUAUACGAUCCUAAGCAUGUAUAUAGAUCGUAUCUAACUAAGCCAAGUACAUAACUAUGAUAAACUAAGAAUAAUAUAAUCUUGAAUAUAAGCAAGUAGAGCAAAGUCAUAAGCAAUAUAUUGAAGUAGAACAAAGUCAUAUUCAUAAUAUUGAAGAACAAAGAUAAUUAGAAAGCAAUUAGAAGCACAAUUAGAAGAUUACCAAGAAUCCUCCUGACAGAUCCGGAAACCAAUCGAAGAUUGACUCCUUCUAGUUCUAAUCCUAUGUAGCUAUGCUAAUCUAGAUAUCUAAUUGAUGUGGUGGCUCUAAUCUUGAUCAGAGGCUUCUUCUCCCUUGAUGGAACAAUGAAUUAGGGUUGAGAGGCUCUCUCCUCCAGGGGCCAGGGGGUCUGGUUUUAUAGUCCCUUCAAGUGAAUAUGGGCCCUUGGAUCAAACCGACAUAGAUUGUAUGGUUUAGAUUCAUCCUUUAGGUCGGUGGAGACUUCCCGCAAAGCAGAGUCCUGAUUGGACUCCAGAGGUGGGCGGGCGCCCUGACCAACUGGGCGGCCGCCCAGGGUCUGGCCCCGUUUCGCCUCCGCUUCGGUCUCGUGGCUUCUGGAGUCUUCUAGAUGUAAGAUAAUUGCGCAGCACGUUAAUAUCUUUACGUAAUCGUGACAUGUGGGCCUUUCUUCCAUAUUUCCUGAUAACUCCCUGCAGAAAUAGACAAACACCAAAACUCAUGGAAUUCUGUCAGAUAAAACCCUAAGUCUAGAUCUUGAUUUCAUUUGGAUCCUUUUCUUUAUUUAUUUGAUAAUUAAAUUUGAUACUUAAGGACCGUCAACAGCAUACAUUCAUCUCUCGAUACGAUAACUAUCGGUGUACACGCGAGUUGUUAGUGUACCUGCAGAAAACUUCAUUGCAGCCCAACAAUUCCCAAUAUUUCACUCAAGAAAGCAGUAAACUAAGUGUACAUUGCUUAUACAUGCCCAACAUGCACAAACAAUGACACCACAGCUACCCAAGAAAUUAAAUGCUCUCCAAUUAAGUUUCUUUCGUGGUUCCAUGGUUUGACAUGUAACCACUCUAGAAAACCACCACGAACACUCCCCUAGACCGCCGUUUGGACGAUCAUGCUCUCACACCUCACACUUACCAGAGCGUAGGUGCGACGUUGCAUAAUUUAAAUCUGGCGACAUAUGUGGCUAAUUCACAUAAGAAGGCUACCUCUACCAUUAGACCAUAGGGUAGCAUAGUGCGGUCAUCACACAUCUAUACCUGAGUACUGCCGGAGAUGCAUAAUUAAAACCCCCAAGUCAGUACUUAAUUAGCCACCUAGAGUCCUUAUACGGGCAAGGAGGAUUCGACCACUGCAUAACUUUGGUAUUAAUUUUCUUAGUUUAUUUAAAAACUCUUUUGUUUUUAAAUACAAAAACGCUGCAUUUAUAAUGCUGAACUUGCUCCGAUACCAGCUGUCACAGAACCGACCAAAUUAUAAGAGUUCAAGUGUAGAAACGAUCAACUUGCAAUCAAGUUUCCAUACUUGAGCCCAUAUAAUCCCGGUAGUCAACUGAAAUCAUGAAGGACUUCAAACCAACUUGCAACAAACCAAGAUCGUAAUAGUUCAACAUAACACAGCGAAUGUUACAUAGUCAUUCAUUGCCGUCGAAGCAACACCACAUCGGAGUUACUUAGUCAUUACAACCCAAGUUUUAGAGUAGCGGAAGCAAAAUAGUUUACAACACACAUUCAUUUCACAAGUUCUUGUUAUUGCCAGAGUCUCAUGCCAUCCAUCAAAAGCAACAUGUACGAAGUCAUUCGAGAACAGUUCCCAACGGUUUAGUCCUCAUCCCCAGCGGGAUGGAGACAGGUCUUGCAGAAGCCAUCAUAAAAGAUAUCAUCUGCAACAGGUGGGAAUAAACCCUAAGUACGAGGAUAUACUCAGCUAGACUUACCCGUCUAGUAAAACAUAAAAGACACCAAGGAUCAUGCAAGCCUGAGUAUAAAGUGUAGUUGGCUUGACUCAACAUUUUGCCAAAAGCUUAAGUGGACAUUACACCAUAUGUAAAAGCAUUAUAUUAAUCAUCAUUAGCCUACCACUAUAUUAGCACCUAUACUAAGCACUCCACUUGAUUAAUACAAGCAAUAAUAACCAUAUCAAGUUCAUCAUAUGUUCUUCCUUGCUAUCAUCAACAUUAUUCUCAAGAACCAUUGUACUUAUUGGAUGCUACGUUUGCCGCUGCUCUAUCAAGUUCUCACUAUCCGGGAGAGACAGUGAUUCGAAUCGAUUCCUAUCCAGCUGGAGGGUUAUUCCUAGCACUCACCCAAGCAUCCCCCGUCGGAGAGCACCCAAUUCUGGAACCCAACUUGGAAGGGCCAUAACUUUUAAACUACUAAACCAAAAGAUCGCAAAAUUGAACUACAGCUAGUUCAUAAAGUUUACAACAUCUUUGAUUUAGACAAGUCUUUCAGAAAACCAAGUUAUCAUCAAGCUAGUUCAUAAAGUUUACAACAGCUUAUGAACCUUUAAUUAAUUAUUUGAUGACAUAGCCAAAACAUAUCUAGUGCCAACCAAAUGGCUUACAAGCACAAACAUAGCCUAAGAUUACCAGAACAUCACAUGUUGACCACUAAACAUUCAACAACAUGGCAUUUCUUAAUUUAAUUCCAUAAAAUGACAUAAUUACAAGAUACUAGUAAAAUUGCUCAGAAAAAUCUGCAAAAAUUACAGAAGGACAGACAUAGCAUCUUGACUUCACCAUAAAAUUUUCAGAACAAUUGCACAUGCCAAACUCAAGAUAAAUAAUUAACAUGUAACAAGGUGCUUAUUUCAUAAAUUAAGAAACAUGGCUUAGAUAGUGUCAAACAACAUAUUUCAGAUUAUUUACAUGUUACUAUUACUAUAAACAAGCUUGGCACCAAAGUAGAACACCAGCAUAAGCAUCAAACAUUUAUUAUGAUUUAAAUAUGAAAACAAGCCAUGGGAUCAACAUAAAUUACAUAUCAGAGAUACAUUACUCCAAAAAUCAUGAAUUAUUUAUCAAAGCAUUCUUAUUUCACUCAGAACCUACUAUAAAACUUUCACAGCAAUAGGAGCAGUAUAUCAACAGAUAUGAAUUUACUGUCAAAUAACAAGAUUAAUUUAUAACAAUUAUUUUUCCUAGAAAACAUGGUGCAUAUUAUAUUUUAUUAAAAACUAGCCAUCACAUGGAUCAUCACAAAAUUUGUUUCACAACUUUUGGAUCUCAGGUACUGGAGAUAUGAUUUUUGCAAAAACUGCACAAACCCUAAUUUCAAACAAAGGAGAAAGAGAGACUGACAGGGGGACCCCACAGGUCAACGGACCCUACGCGUCAGUGACCCGAGAGCAGAGGCGAGACUUGACCGCCGGAGAUCUCGUCGACGGCCAAGAGCACCAUCGUGCUCCUCACUCCACUCAGCGACGAUAGGUACCAGAAGCCCUAGCUCUACCGCACCCUAGGGACCUCGCCCUCGCGAAUGGCGGCACGGCCGUGGUGUGCGGCCGACCGCCGGCGUCUCUGGUCGGAGACCGGGCGAAAGAAGAUCCCGACGAGCACCAGCACGACUCAGCGGAGCUUUUGGGACAAGAACGAGAAAGAAUGGUGGACUACAGAGCCCUGGCCACGACACCUGUGACCACGGCAGAGCUCCGGCGAGGUAAGCUGAAGAGCUACAUGAGGACUUCAACUUUGCUUACAAGAUCAAUACUUGAUUUGGCCUAGAUUUCAAACAGGAAGCUAUCCAAACCACCCUCGAGCAAACUGUUGCAUUCUCAGACUUAGAAAAAUUUCUAAGUGUUGGAGAUAGCCCCAAAUCUGCCUCGUGGGCCACUUUUGAGCUAGAUGUGAUAAUUUUCAUGAGAUGGCCAUAAAACAACUUUUGUUCCUAAUAAAUUUGCUACAACUUUGCUGUAGAAAGUCUGAACAUGCAAACAUUUUAUGAAGCACUUUUUAAAAGUCUAAGAAAAAUAGGUUUUUAGGGCUUAUAAGAAGAAGUAUGACUUAGGUACUUAAUUUGGAGAUGUGAUCAACAUGAACAUUGUUCCAAAAGUUGAGUUAAGCAUAGAUGGACUAUUUACCAAGGCAUAGAACACAAACAUGAGCAUGGCACAAGCAAACACAAGCAUAGGAAGCAUAUUCAAGCAAGUUAAAACACACACUUGCAUAAAAUGACAUGACCCAAGGAAUUGAUGAGCAUGAUAUGCUUAUGAACAUGAUGAUGCUCAUGUUAUGCUUGUGAAUGAUGCAACCAUGACACUAGGGUGUUACAAUGAACCCUAGCUCAUGCAACAAGGGCAAGGAAAAGGUAACAACUGCCUUUGCCCAUCCUAGUGGUUUAUGGGUCUUAAUGCAAGAAUAAUUUUAUGGUUUGCCUUCUAUGGCUAUUAAUGUGUUGUUUUCAGAGCAUCCAUUUUAAUUUAGUGAAGUGUGAUUGAAAUUGAUUUGUUCUUUCGUGAAUAUUAUAUAUAGGAUUUGUCAUUGAGUUCAACAAAAGUCUAUAGCAUUUUAUUGACAUAAAACUAAACUACAAGUCAUUCUAAAAACAAUAAUCUAAGUCAUUCUAAUAAAACACAGGAUUCAGAGUUCAUGUUCUGCUCUUACUACAUGAGUUAUGUGAUAGCAUGUGCAUUUAGUUCAAGUAUGAAUAUAUACUAAGGUACUAAUAGAUUACUGACUGCACCUAAAAAACCUGUGGUUUAUGGUACCAUGAAAAUAGAAACAAGUAGCAUUGAUGCACUUGCAUGAUUGAAUCAUGAUUUUAAUAACUCUAUUUUGCUUUCUAGAAGGGUCUAAAAUCAAUGCAUGAUUGAAUCAUGAAGCACACAUAAUAAAGAUUUUACAGCCAUCAAUGUUAUUUUUUUCAUCUAUCAGUAGUGUUUGUUUGUAUGACAAGUGUAUUCAUAUUUUCAUCAUUCGAGGUUCAGAUAGCACUAUACUGAAAGACUACUUAAAGAAGUUUUUUUUUAGUCCCAUGUACAUGAUGGGAUGGUUUUGUUCCUUGCUGCUGUAGAUUGACUCAGAUAACCAAGUAAUUGGACCAUGUAAUUUCUUGUUUGUUCUCCAUCCUAAAUGACAACCAUAUACAUACACUUUUUUCUACAUUCAUCAAAGAAAACUGAAGGUAUUACAACAAGUUUCUCCUAGUUCCUUGCUGCUGCAGGUUGACUCAAGAUAACCAAGUAACUAGACCAUGUAAUUCUUGGUUCUUCUCCAUCCUGAAUGACAAAACCAUAUACUGUAGGUUCCCUAAUAUUUAUUUGUACUGCAGGUUCCCUAUGACAGUGACCUGAAAGAAGAGGAUGAACUUGUGGACUGGGUUGGUAUUUGUAAAACUCUACAACUCUGAAAUCGUGGACUCUUAUAAGUUGAACAGAAGUCAUUACCUUUUUUAUGUGGAAUGUAUAGAGUGAAAUGAAGUGGUCCUUAAUAGUUGAAUAAUAGCACCUAAUAUUUAUUUGUACUGCAGGUUCCCUAAUAUUUAUUUGUUCUGCAGGUUCUCUAUGACAGUGACCUGGAAGAAGAGGAUGAACUUGUGGACAGGGUUGGAUUCCUGACCGAGGAAGCUAACAAGACAGCAACAAAAAAGAUGUUGCGCCGAGUAGAUAAUACCUCUACUGGAGUUGAUCAAGCCUUCAACACGCUCUUCAUCAACAUGAAAUAUUGUGUGUUGGAUGUAACACCCCAGUGUUAUGGUUGCAUAAAUCACAUGCAUAACAUGAGCAUCAUCAUCUACUCAAGUAUUCCAUGAUCAUCAUCUACCUUGAGCCAUGUCAUUUUAUGCAAAAAUGUGAUUUAAGUUGUCUUAAUAGGCCUCCUAGACUUGUGUUGGUGUGUACCAUGCUUGUGUUUGUGCUCUAUGCCUUGGUAAUUAGUUUAUCUAUGCUUAACUCAACAUUAGGAGCAAUGUUCAUGUUGAUCACUUCUCCAAAAUAAUCACUUAAGUCAUACUUACUCAAAUAGGCCCUAGAAACCUCUUUUGCUUAGGCUUUUAAAAAGUGUAUCAUAAAAUAUUUGCAUGUCAAAACUUUAUAAAGAAAAGUUGUAGCAAAUGUUAUAAGGAACAAAAGUUGUUUUAUGUCCAUCUCAAGAAAAUAAACACAUCUUGCUCAAAAAGUGCUUUCAAGGAAGAUUUGGGUGCUGUUUUGGCACUUAGCCGAAUUUGGCUAAGUCCUGGCAUUAACAGUUUGCUCGAACGAUUUUGAAAACAUCAUAUCUUUCAAACCAGGCCGAUCUAUCUCUUGCUCCAGUUGACAAUGUUGUAGAACUCAGCUAGUACUCCAACUUUGUCAACUACACAAUCUCCUAACUUGCGCUGGUUUGGGAGUUAAUCGUUGUCAAAGUAGCGUCGGUCAUCGUUUUGUCUGAAUCAGAACGGAGCUCGUCGACGUGGCCGACCGGCGGCAGAGCAACGGCGACAUUUGGUGUCCGUACGUCGUUCCUGGCCCCGCUCAUCAGCUCCCACCGCGCGCAUGUCCUCCACGGCGACGCCCGGGCGAAGUGGACGCGUCCAUUCCUCUCUGCCUCGCUCUCUCUCGCCACAAACGCGCCCGCAGCGAGCUCACCGUCGCGAGCUCACUCCGGUGAGCUCGUACGCGUUCCUCGCUGCAUCGCUUUCCACCAAACUUCACCCACAGCUCCGCCAUGAACCGCUCUCCACUCUCCACCCGCAAACUCGCCGUGAAACCCUCCGGUGAGCCGACAUUCCCAACUUCCCCCAAAUCGGGUCGCCGUGAUCUUCUUCUGCGGCGAUCUCAAUGCCGAGCUCUUCGAAGCCUCUCGUCUUCUCUGGUUAGGUCCUAGAAGUAGCUUAGAUCCUUAGCAAGCGUUUGCGCCACAUGGUGGACGCUCUACCGCGCUCACCGUCGCCAGACACGACGCGCAGCGCCGCCGUGUUAACGCCGGAGUUAGGCUCUCUCGUGGCCAGCUCCUUCCACCCCGUCUCAGGCCAAGCCACCUACCUAGAAAGCUUCGCCGUAGUCCGCUGGUGCUGUAGGAAACCCUAGGUCGCGCUCUACCGGCCUGAGGGCUCCGGCUUAACGCCGAGCACCUCCGCCGAGCCUCCAUGAUCGACGGCGAGCCAUUUCCGGUGGCUCCGCCAUGGGGAAAAGGGGGUCAAUCGAGUCGCAAGGGUCUGGCGGUCACGAUGGUGCCCUUGGUUUGGCCGGAGACCUCGCCGUCGCGGAGAAAUCGCCGGCGAGAGUCGCCUCGGCUGUGGGGAAGACGACCCAGACAUGCAGGGCCCGCUGUCAGUGUCACCUCACUUCCCUCCUUUUCUUUAUUCAAAUCCAGAUUUUUAGCUUUCUUGCAAAAAUCAUAUCUUCCGUUUCUGAGAUCCAAAAAUUGUGAAACCAAUUUUGUGAUGUUCCUUGAGAUGGCUUGUUUUUAUUAAAAAUAUAAAAUGAACCAUGUUUUCUGGGAAAAAAUAAUUAUUAGGAGUUAAUCUUGUUAUUUAUGAGUAAAUUCAUAUCUUUUGUUAUACUGCUCCUUUUGCCAUGAAAUUUUUAUGGUAGUCUCUGUGUGGUACUAGAAUGCUAUGAUAAAUAUUUCAUGAUUUUUGGAGUACUGCAUCUGUGUUAUAUAAUUUAUGAUUGCGAUAUAGCUUGUUUUCUUAUUAAAAUCAUAUUAAAUAAUGGAUGUUUAUGCUGAUGCUCUACUGUGGUGGCAAACUUGUUUAUGGUAUUGGUAACAUGUAAAUAAUCUGAAAUCUGUUUUUUGACACCAUAUAAGUCAUGUUUCUGAAUUUAUGAAAUAAACACCUUGUCACAUGUUAAAUGCUUAUCUUAAGUUUGGCAUGUGCAAUUGCUCUGAAAUUUUUAUGGUGAUGUCACAAUGCUAUGCUUGUGCUUCUGUAAUUUUUGUAGAUUUUUCUGAGCACCUUUACUAGUAUCUUAUAAUUAUGCUCCUUUAUAGAAUUAAAUUAGUAAAUGCCUUGUUAGUAAAUGUUUAGAGGUUAACAUGUGAUGUUCUGGUGGUCUUAUGAUGUGUUUGUGCUGAUAAGUCAUGUGGUUGGCACUGUUUAUGUUUUGGCUAUGUCAUCAAAUAAUUAAUUGGUGGGUUAAAAGAUGUUCUGGAUAGCAAGGGAGUAAUUUAACUUUUGCUUAAUGAUAACUUGGUUUUCUGGGAAACUUGUCUAAAUCAAAGUUGUGGUAAGCUUUAUGAACUAGCUGUGGUUUAAAUUUGGGAUCAUUUGGCCCAGUAGUCUUGAAGUUAUGAUCUUUCCAAGUUAGGUUCCAGAAAUAGGUGUUCCCUGUUUUUCUGGGACAGAACCUGGAACUUUGUUUAUAAGGCUUGCUUAACUUAUGAAUAUUUCUGUGAUGUUUAAAUAUGGUUAAAUUUCUGGGACAGAACCUGGAACUUUAUUUUCGAAUGUUUACUUAAAUAUGUUAUAUCUAUUGAUGCAUUAAGUAUAGGAGUUGUGAUGAAACCUUUACUGCAUUUUACUCAAUCCUUGUCCAGAUAUCUUACCACUACCUGGUUAUGGAGUUAGGAUCGAGUAGCCGCUUAGCCAUGCUUUAAUCGGUAGAAGUCGGGUGAUUUCCUGUCACCUGCGCGAUAUAGGGUUAUAUCGGAUCACGAUGGACUAUAUGUGCUAUCGUGGAUGGAACCUGAUUAAAUUGACUUAAGCCGGGCGGAGUUUUGCAAGGUUGUAGUAACUCCGUCUGUGGCAGCUAAGGACCGACCAUUCUACGUCCUCUUGUCAUGUUGAACGCAUGCCUAACACUUAGUUGGCCGGAUAACUCGUUCCGACCGCAAAGCCUAGUAACAUGACUCAGGCCGGAAGGCCGGCAAGUAUAAAGUGCGCACUACCGGAGGAAGUGCGGUGUGCGGAGGACCAUUGGCGUAAGUCCAAAGGCAGGUGAAUUAAAAUUCCUGACCUCCCAGGUAGAGUGGUAGCCCUGGGAGUGCGGCGCUGAUCGGAACCGCGAUUCCUGAGUUGUACCAAAGGUGACCCGCUGGCUCUCCGACGGGGGAUGCUUGGGUGAGUGCUAGGAAUACCCCUCCAGCUGGAUGGGAAUUCGAUUUAAAUCGCCGUCUCUCCCGGUUAGUGAGAACUUGACAAAGCAGCGGCAAACGUAGCAUUCACUAAAGAACUUGGUUCAGAUAAUGAUGAUAGCAAGGAAGAACAUAUGAUGAACUUGAUAUGGUUAUUAUUGCUUGUGAUAAUCAAGUGAAGUGCUUUAGUACAGGUGCUAAUCUAGUGGUAGGCUGAUGAUGAUUAAAUAUGAUGCUCUCACAACAUUGUAGUUAUAAUUUAAGCUUUUGGCAAAUGUUGAGUCAACCAGCUCUACUUGAUAUUAGCCUUGCAUGAUCCUUGGUGUCUUUUAUGUUUUACUAGACGGGUAAGUCUAGCUGAGUACAUUCUCGUACUCAGGGUUUAUUCCCACCUGUUGCAGAUGAUAUCUUUUAUGAUGGCUUCUGCAAGACCUGUCUCCAUCCCGCUGGGAAUGAGGACUAACCGUUGGGCACAGUUCUCUAACAAACUCAUACCUGCUGCUUUUGGAAGGAUGGUGUACGACAAUAGCUAUAACAAGAACUUGUGAACUGAACUUUGGAAAGUGUGUGUAAUAAUUAUUUUGCUUCCGCUACUACAAACUUGGGUUGUAAUAACUAAGUACUCCGAUGUGGUGCCGCUUCGACGGCAAUGAAUGACUAUGUAACAUUCGCUGUGUUGUGUUUAACUAUUACGAUCUUGGUUUGUUGCAAGUUGGUUUGAAGUCCUUCGUGAUUUCAAUUGACUACCGGGAUUCUAUGGGCUCAAGUUUGGAAACUUGAUUGCUUGUCGAUCGUUUCUACACUUGAACUCUUAUAAUUUGGUCGGUUCUGUGACAGCUGGUAUCGGAGCAAGUUCAGCAUUAUAAAUGCAGCGUUUGUGUAUUUGAAAACAAAGAGUUUCUUAAAUAAAAUUUUGUAAAUCAAUAUAUAAUUAUGCCAGUGGUCGAAUCCUCCUUGCUCAUAUAAGGACUAUAGGUGGCUAUUUAAGUACUAACUUGAGGGGUUUUUAUUUAUGCAUCUCUGGCAGUACUCAGGUAUGGAUGUGUGAUGACCGCACUAUGCUACCCUAUGGUCUAAUGGUAGAGGUAGCCUUCAUAUGUGAAUUAGCCACAUAUGUCGCUAGAUUUAAAUUAUGCAACGUCGCACCUACGCUCUGGUAAGUGUGAGCUGUGAGAGCAUGAUCGUCCAAACGGCGGUCUAGGGGAGUGUUCGUGGUGGUUUUCUGGAGUGGUUACAUGUCAAAACCAUGGAACCACGAAAGAAACUUAAUUGGGGAGCAUUUAAUUUCUCGGGUAGCUGUGGUGUCAUUGUUUGUGCAUGUUGGGCAUGUCCAAGCAAUGUGCAUUUAGUUUACUGCUUUCUUGAGUGAUAUUGAGAACUAUUGGGCGGAAAUGAAGUUUUCUGCAAGUACUCUAACAGCGCACGUGUAAUUCGCUAGUUAUCGUAUCGAGAGACGAAUGUAUGCCACCGUAUAUCCGUUAGAAUAUUAAUUUUCUAAGUUUAUGAGGACGUACGGUUCGUGCAUGCAUCAUGUCGCAUUCAUACAUACAUUCCAUCUACUCCUUCCCUUACCAUGUCGUCCCUUUUAAUUAAAUAAAUGUUGCUUAAAAUUAAUCCUCUCUUACCCAUGGUAUUCCUAUUCCUUUCCACAGAUGGACGUGCCCGCUUCACCCCACCCCAGUGACACCUUUCUGAGCGUGUUUGGCACUCCUACCUUGCUCUGGAGGGUGCUACAGUCUGUGGGGUACACUGAGCCACCUCAGUAUUCUUGGUGGGAGGUGGAUAUGACAGGAGGGUUGCAGUGGUUUGCUGUGCAGGGAGUUGUCCCUCCACAUGGGGGCAGGCCUGCAUGGACAGGGUGGACCUGUAAUUCAGAUGGGCAGACUCCUUGGGAAGCAGCUCAGGUUGCAGCCCAGGCUAUGCUGCUCAAUAUCUGUCAGAGGUUUGGCGAUGAGUUGACAGGAGGACCAGAGGCCUCCAUUCCCCGUGCUGAUCCAGCAGCAGCGGAGUGGAAGCAGGCUGAUGGUUGUGCGUUGGUCCGAGGCAGGGGAGAGCGAGCUGAGAGUUCCAGUCCUGCUAUGAGUGCUAUGAUGGCUGUGCUCAAGCUGUUCAGUCAGCGAGAGGACACUUAUGCACAGGUGAUGGUGGCUGUUCGCCAGGCUCAGGAGAUGCAACAGAAGGCUAAAAAGCGUGCUCGCAAGUUUCGCAAGCAAGCUAGACUCCUGGAGCAAGCUCAGAAGGACCGCAAUGACUGGGAAGGCAUUGCGGAGUACCAUAGGCAGCAGUGGGUGAAGGCCAUUAGGGAGAGAGGUCAUAAGCAAGAUCAGAUGAGUUAGUUGGCUAGAGAGAGGGAGACAGUGCAGGAGCGCUUGGUGCAGGUCACUCGUGAGAGAGAUACUGCAUUCCGUGUGUUGGAGAACAGGCACCUGGCUUGGGAGAUGCACCAGAUUCAGUCGCUUGAGCGGGAGAACUAUCUGCAGGAUCAGAUUGAGGCUGGUCUUGUGGAGAUUCAUCGUCUCAACAACUUACUACACCCUAUUCCUCGCCCUGUACCCGUGUAUCCAGAGGUGGGACCUCAGGUGACUGUGGCUGAUGACGAUGGUAUGGAGGUCGAUGGGCCAGCAGCGGCUGCACCACCCUUGCAUGAGGACGUGGAGGACGAGGAGCUUGAGCCAGUUAGCGACGAGGAUGGAGAGGCGAUCUUCGACGCUGACUCGGACGACGAGCAUGGAGUGUAGUGGGUUGUGGGUAGUUGUUAUGUGAGGAUCUUUUGUAAUUUGGCAGUUAGCAGUGGUGCUUUUGUAAUCAUGAUGUAAUCCGGAACCUUGAUCUUGCCUUAUGUCAUGUACUGUGAUGGUGUAAUAACUUUAUGGACCGAAUGUGUAACCUUAACAUGUUCGAUUUGUUAUGACGAUGUUUUCCAUUGUGGUGCAUAUUACGGAUGUCUCUAUCAUGUGUUGGAUUGGUGAUGUUGUUUUGUGGAAUUGAAUUAUUGUGCCUUUUUCUGUAAAGUUAUUCUCUCGAAUACUUUCAGGCAUAAAUAUAAGUUCUUCUACAGCAAGUCUUGUCAUCAUCAAUGCUCACUGACUGUAUCUUUACAGAUGUCUCGUGGCACUAGAGGAGCGGAACAGCAUGCGAACAUGAACCCACCCCCUCGUCCUCCACCACCAAAUCUAGCUGAGCUGAUGCAAAUGAUGGUGGAAAACCAGAGAAUGCUCACUGAGACCAUCAAUCGGAUGGCAAAUCAGGGUGGUCGUAAUGCACAUGAAGGGCUAGCUCGUAAUCAGUAUAGCAGUUUCAAGGAUUUCAAGGAUACUAAGCCCCCACCUUUCAGAGAGGCUGAAGAACCCCUUCAAGCUGAGGAGUGGCUGAACACGGUGGAACAAAAGUUCCGCUUGCUUCAGCUGACCGAGGGUUUGAAGGCUGAGUAUGCAGCUCACCAACUACAAGGUCCAGCAGGCAUCUGCUGGAAUCAGUAUCGGGAAGCCCUUCCAGCCGACACUGUGCUUGACUGGAAUCUUUUCCGUGAAGCUUUCAAAGGGCAUUUCAUUCCUCCUGGUGUCAUGGAGAUGAAGCAUACCGAGUUUAUGCAGUUGACUCAGGGCAACAAAACUCUGAAGGAGUACUUGCAUGUUUUCAAUCAUCUGUCAAGGUAUGCUCCUGAGUUUGUGAACACUGAGGCAAAGAAGAUUGCCAGCUUCAAGCGGGGUUUGGGCCCCAAGUCGCUGAAGACUAUGGGCCGCACUAAGUGUGCAACUUUCAAUGAGUUUGUCAGUGAUGCUCUCACCCAAGAGAACUACAACACUAUGUACACUGCGACCAAGACUCGAAAGAGGGCUUUUGAGGCCAGGGCAGGGGCAUCACAGUCCAAGGCUCCAGUGGCAGCUAAGCCCCCGUACCGUGCUCCAACUCCUAACCAGCGGUAUCACCCUCCGGUGAAGAAGAAUCAGGAAAAGACGGGUUUUCGCAAGGGUUACUCCAUUGCUCUUCCUAGAGGUAACACAGGUCCCAGCUAUGCCAAGACCCCACCUGCCAACCGUCCGUGCUGAAACUGCAAUCAGACCGGGCACUGGCAGAGCAAUUGUCCUUACCCUCCGAAGAAGGGCAACGAAGGGAACGUCCGCCAGGGGCGUGUUCACUACACCACUUUGGAGGCAAUCCCUGCUGGUGAGGUAGUUACGGCUGAUAAGUUUCUGGUUAACCAAUGUGAUGCACUUGUGCUUUUUGAUUUAGGAGCAUCACAUUCUUUUGUGAGUUCAGACUUUGUGUCUAAGCAUAAUCUCAAGGCAAAUACACUUGAUAAGGGUAGUUAUUGCAUUAGUGCUGCUGGGAAUGAUAUUUCUACCAAUCAAGUGGUUUUUGGGGCAACUCUAGAAGUUGGAGGCCGUCAGUUUCUUGCUGAUCUGGUUGUCUUACCCGGUGUGGGUAUAGAUGUAAUUCUGAGUAUGAAUUGGAUGAGUGGUAACAGAGUUCUUAUCGACACCACCACUCGUGUAUUGAUGUUGAGAGACCCAAAUACCAGGGAAGCGUUCUUAGUGCAACUUCCUCGAAAUAUCCAUAUCCGUAGCACUGUGAAUGCAGUUACAGCUAAGGUCAUCCAGGAUAUUCCGGUGGUGUGUGAGUUCCCGGAUGUAUUUCCUGAUGAUUUACCCGGGCUUCCUCCAGAUCGAGAUGUGGAGUUCAAAAUUGAAUUGAUUCCAUGUACCGCUCCUAUCUCUAGAAGACCUUAUAGAAUGCCACCCAAUGAGCUAGCAGAGCAAAAGACCCAGUUGAAUGAGUUGUUGAAAAAGGGUCGUAUCCGUCCUAGUUCUUCUCCUUGGGGUUGUCCGGCUAUCUUUGUGAAGAAGAAGGAUCAAUCCUUGCGCAUGUGUGUGGACUAUCGUCCCCUGAAUGCGGUGACCAUCAAGAAUAAAUACCCUCUUCCUCGCAUUGAUAUCUUGUUUGAUCAGUUGUCUAAAGCUAAGGUAUUCUCCAAGAUUGAUUUGCGAUCUGGGUACCAUCAAAUCAAGAUCCGUCCUGAAGAUGUGCCUAAGACAGCUUUCUCGACGAGGUAUGGGUUGUAUGAGUAUCUCGUCAUGUCCUUCGGUCUUACGAAUGCACCUGCUCACUUCAUGUACCUCAUGAACUCGGUCUUCAUGCCCGAAGUAGACAAGUUUGUGGUGGUCUUCAUUGAUGAUAUCUUGGUAUAUUCUUGCAAUGAAGAGGAGCAUGCAGAGCAUCUGCGUGUGGUGUUGUCGCGCUUGCGUGGACAUCAACUUUAUGCCAAGUUCAGCAAAUGCGAGUUUUGGCUAAAGAAAGUACCUUUCUUGGGCCAUGUCUUAUCUGAAGAAGGCAUAUCGGUGGAUCCGACUAAGGUGCAAGAAGUGCUGGAUUGGAAGGUUCCAACUUUGGUACAUGAGGUUCGGAGUUUUCUCGGUCUGGCUGGGUAUUAUCAUCGAUUCAUUCCGGAAUUCUCAAAAAUAUCCAAGUCUAUGACUCGUCUACUUCAGAAAGAUGAGAAGUUUGUGUGGACGCCUGAGUGUGAAGAGGCAAUCCACAAGUUGAGGACAUUGCUGACAUCAGCUCCUGUCCUAGCUCAACCUGAUAUCGAGAAGCCCUUCGAUGUCUUCUGUGACGCAUCAGGUAUUGGUCUAGGCUGCGUGUUGAUGCAGGAAGGUCGCGUUAUCGCGUAUGCCUCGUGUUGGUAUUUGGUAACGCAAUUAGAAAAUGAUCCGCAAGCGCACGGAUAUCGGUGAGCAUUUCACCAGGGAGGUUAUCCAGAGUUAUCGUAUUUAUAUUUUUACCACUGGGAGAAAGGGUGCAUCUGACUAACCAAAUCUAUUGCUACUAUUGUUGACGGUCCUUAAGUAUCAAAUUUAAUUAUCAAAUAAAUAAAGAAAAGGAUCCAAAUGAAAUCAAGAUCUAGACUUAGGGUUUUAUCUGAUAGAAUUCCACGAGUUUUGGUGUUUGUCUAUUUCUGCAGGGAGUUAUCAGGAAAUAUGGAAGAAAGGCCCACAUGUCAGGAUUACGUAAAGAUAUUAACGUGCCGCGCAAUUAUCUUACAUCUAGAAGACUCAAGAAGCCACGAGACCGAAGCGGAGGCGAAACGGGGCCAGACCCUGGGCGGCCGCCCAGUUGGUCAGGGCGCCCGCCCACCUCUGGAGUCCAAUCAGGACUCUGCUUUGCGGGAAGUCUCCACCGACCUAAAGGAUGAUUCUAAACCAUACAAUCUAUGUCGGUUUGAUCCAAGGGCCCAUAUUCACUUGAAGGGACUAUAAAACCAGACCCCCUGGCCCCUGGAGGAGGGAGCCUCUCAACCCUAAUUCAUUGUUCCAUCAAGGGAGAAGAAGCCUCUGAUCAAGAUUAGAGACACCACAUCAAUUAGAUAUCUAGAUUAGCAUAGCUACAUAGGAUUAGAACUAGAAGGAGUCAAUCUUCGAUUGGUUUCCGGAUCUGUCAGGAGGAUUCUUGGUAAUUCUCUAAUUGUACUUCUAAUUGCUUUCUAAUUAUCUUUGUUCUUCAAUAUUAUGAAUAUGACUUUGUUCUACUUCAAUAUAUUGCUUAUGACUUUGCUCUACUUGCUUAUAUUCAAGAUUAUAUUGUUCUUAGUUUAUCAUAGUUAUGUACUUGGCUUAGUUAGAUACGAUCUAUAUACAUGCUUAGGAUCGUAUAGCGUUUAUCCAUCGGAUCCAUGGGUAAAUGAUAGAUAUUGUGUAGGCGUGGUGCUUAUACCGUAUUUAUCUGCGAUUGUACCCAAUAUGCCAGAUCGUGGGGUAGUUCGUGAUAGUGACAGCUUCAUUGAUUCUUAUAUAGUCCCCCUCUCGUGUAUUGGGCUGGCAGAGCAACAUUAUUACAGGGGAGUGAUUGCUAUGUUUCUCAUAUUCCUUGCUAAUAUCACUAUGCAUGGGCGUAGUCUUGUCUCGCAAUGAUUGCUAAGUAUGCUUGCACUAACUAUGAUAUGCUAGACUAUAUAGUUGAGAAUAACUUAGGGAAUAUUCUUGUAGUUCGUUCUAAUACCAUGCUAAUGACUUUCUAGAGUAUCUAAUUGAGGUGCUUAUCAUAUUUAUUAUGUGGCUAGAUCAGAUUAGUUAUCCUUGUCACUAUUAUCAUUUCAUAUAUCUUUUAUGUGACACUUAUCCCUGUAUGAUGAGUUAGAUAUAAUGUUCUCAAUUAUACAUGCAAUGAUAGAUGCUCAAUCUCAUAUUCUAUUCUGUAAUCAUUAGUGAUGAUUUCUAAUCCCUUCCCAGUGGUAAAAAUAUAAAUAACGAUGCCUAGAAUACUUCCCGGUUAAAAUGCUGCAUCGGUAUUAAUCUGUGCGCUUGCAGAUCCCAUUCAUUAUUUAUUUAGAAGAGCAAUUGCAUAUUUCAAUACCGCGUCUCUUAUAUCAUGCUGGGGAUGACAACUUGGCUUAAGUGGUGUGAGGGAUAGGUUUGGCAUUUUUGGCACCGUUGCUAGAUUUAGAACUUAGUCUACUUUUAGUAAUGAUGUUAAGAAUACCCAACAACUAUCCCUUUAGGCUACAAAGAAUGUCUCUCGAUGUGAGUGAUGUAUAGAGAAGACUGCAACCGUAGUCUCGUUCUAACCUUGGUAAGGAUGAUCUACUGUUCUAUUGGGGAGGCUCACGGAAUCUAGACAACACAAAGGAUGUUCGACCCGCACCUAUAAACCCUAGCCGUCCUGCUAACAAGAUAUGGGAUACAAAGGUAACUCGGAAAUGUCACGUUCCUCGCUACUACCACGGUCCAGCUAGUCAGGGGAUAUCUAUGAGUACCCUAGCCUAAACACCACGUUUACGCUAGCAAGUGAUUACUCUAAUACUCAACCGGAAGAGGAUUAAAGUAAACUCAUAAACCAAAGAACAAUAAAACAAGAACUUACUAGUAUUAGAAGUCGAAUUACUGAAGAAUCUUAGAAGCAAGCCUCGGGUUAGGAGACUUGAUCCCACAGGUACAACUCGGAGUAGACACCGACAGGCCGGCCUUCCUCCGAUCCACACCUCCACUCUGUUUCUCUCAAUCUAGUAGAAACUAGAAGAUCUAUUUCUACUUUACAUUGGUUGCUAAGCCUAAAAAGAAAUAUUAUUUAGAGAAGAGGUUUUCCUUCGACGGCACCCCUCAAUCUCUAUGAUAAUUUCUUGUCUUCUCCAGGGGCUAAGGGGGUCUCCUUAUAUAGUCCUCCUCUAUGCAUUUUUGGUUCAGCAGGCGAUGUGGUACUAAACUUUCCACCAUAUCUCAUUAAAAUGCACAUAGGCCUUAAUGGACCAAAAUCUGAUUUGGGCCCAAUUAAUCACGCAGCUCUUUUAUAUGGAGUCCUUCUUUUAUUAAUAUCUUUUGAUUCCGAACUCCAAAUAUAGCAAGUAAUAUAUGCAUUUCGAUCAGCUCGACGAGAUAUUUGCAAUGGUGUACUCCAUUCUGUGGGCGGGCGCCCAAGGGGGGUGGGCGGGCCUCUCGUUCGUUCUCGUGGCUUCUCGAGUCUUCUAGAUGAUAGAAAAUUGCGCGGCACGUUAAUAUCUCUAUGUAAUCCCGACGUGUGGGCCUUUCUUCCAUAUUUCCUGAUAACCCCCUGCAGAAAUAGACAAACACCAAAACUCGUUGAAUUCUGUCAGAUAAAACCCUAAGUCUAGGUGUUGGUUGCAUUUGGAUCCUUUUCUUUAUUUAUUUGAUGAUUAUAUUUGAUACUUAAGGACCGUCAACAAACUCCCCCAAGCUUACCUCUUGCUCGUCCCUGAGCAAGGAUGAACUCAAGAGUUUCUGCAGUGGUUUCAUUUCUUAAAAGUACACACGCAUUCAAGCAAGAUCUCAUCUCUGAGUUAGAAUAAACUGUUAAGACUUAAAACUUACUCAUUUUACCUUUUACCAUGGGGCUUGUAACCGUCACUUGUGUCUUGAGCAGUUAAAAGAUAGAACGGUCAAGUCAAGCGCCAUGUCUCUUAUUCUUGAUCAGCUAUAGCUCUAGGGUUUUUUGCAGAUUUUCAAAUAAAACUCAGAGAUUUCUUAUAUGACUCUCUCAGAUCUCUCUUUUGUGGUAUUUAUGGAUCCUUACCAAGGCAGUAAUGGUAUAUGCCUUCUCUCAAAGUAUGUGGUAUUUUUGGUAUGAGGCAUAGUGAUAUUGCCUUCUCUCUCACCCUACUCUAAUAAAGUUCUGAUAUCUGGAGCUCAUAGGUGGGAGACAGCUAAUACAUACUUACAAGACAUUUAUUGCAUAGUCAAACCAUGGAUCCAGAGAAACAAAUCAAUAAGUCAAAUCAAGAUGUGCAUGUGUGGCGAAUGAAUGGUGUAUGGUGAUGAUGGUGAUAAUGAUGGUGAAAGUCUAAUUCUAUUUUUAUGCUCUUUUGAGGGGAUACAUACCUUUCUUGUACUUUGAAGCUUUUUGGGGAGAAUGAGAUGCUCUAUAUUUUCUUUUUCUUUUCUCUCAGGUGGAUAUCUUGUACCCCUAAUUCUACUGUCGGACACUUGUCCAUUUUUACCUCUCGUCUCACUUUUUAUUUUCUUCGAGGUUCCGGGCACUUGCCCCUUUUUAUUUCCUCGUAUUAUUAUUAUUAUUUUUUUCUUUUCUCUUUCUCUUUUUUAGAGCACUCAUCUCCUAAAAGAAUGUAGCAAGUGGUAGUAACCAAAAUAACUAGAGCAUUUAUUUCACAGGGAAUAACAGGGAUAGGAAAAUUUUUUUUCCUAUUCUCUCCCGGAUUAGGAGUAGAAUAAUUUCGGGUGAAUGUGGAGAUGGAAAUGAGUGGAUGUAUGUGGAUGCGUACUUCCGGAGUAGAAGUAGCAUGUAUGAGUGAACGUGCAAGUGAAUCUUGAUUUUAACCACAUGACAAGCUCCUAAGGGUCUACACAGCUUGACCACACUCAAUGCUCAUAAGCAGUAAAAAGUAAAUAUGUGGCUCAAAGUCUAGCAAGCAUGUAUAUAUGGCUGUGGUAGGAUUUUAAACUCUCAUCAUACAGGAACUCAUCAUGUGUUAUUUUAAAGAUUUUUUCAAAGAUAAAAUUCUCCAGAAUUCUAGCAUCUCUAGGAACAGAUAAACAGCAGCUCAACCUUCCCAUAUCAUAUCCGUUAACGACUUAGACUUUAGAUCAAGUACUCUUCCCACAAGUUUAGGUUUAGAGCAAGCUUUAAAUUAUAACAGUUAUGCCUAAACUUGAGAGAGAUUUCAAUUUUAAGAACUAGUCAUGGCAGAGCAACUAUUCAUCAUUUCCAUGAGAGAGCUUAUCAUGAGGGUUCAUAGCAAACUUUAUUUAGUUAUUUAUUUAGCAAAAUAAAUAUAUAUAUAUAAAAGCACAAAAAUUUUAUUUGGGUUUUCAUGAUUAUGCAUCUUUUAUUAUUUGAGUAAAGUAUAAACGCGAGUAGAAACACUUAGCUGGAUAAAUGGGGGUGCUCUCCCCCAAGCUGGAUUUUGACGUAAUUUCUUCUGAUGUAGCUAGCAGGUAGUGGAGGUGUAUUUGAAAGUCGGCAGCACCCUAACAGCGAUUAGGAUGUCCUCCGUCUACUAGUCUUCUUUGAUCCUUGAAUUCUGUGGAGCUCAAAUAGACAACAAAGCUUUGUGAAACUGGUUAAGUGUUAGCAUAAAUAUCUAGCCUUUAUCAUGUUGAGACUCCUUAAUAAAUAUUACUCCCUAUUUUUAUAUUUUUGUUUUUAUAAAGCAGAAAAAUAUUUAUUUUAUUUUUAUGCCACCACAGUGAAUGUACUUAUAGGUUUUAUGCCACUCGUCUACUCACAUGGGGCUUACAGUUUUUCACAUUUUUAUUUUCUUUCUAGGAUAAUAUGAACAUGAUUAACUAAGCAAACUAUAAUUGAAUAAUUGAAAGGAAAAGGAUAACUACCAAGUUUACCUCUUGGCAAGGCGUUCGGUGUUUUUAAGUCCUCCGAACGGGACUCUCCGUUUUCUCAGUCGUCCUGGGAUUCGCUAGGUGGCGUAGUCGGUGAUUCCGGCGGCGCCUCCUCUUCGUGUAUAACUAUCUUCUCUCUUCACACCUGACUCGGUGCUACGGUCUCCUCAGGAUAGUUGUAUUCAAGCUGUAUGUCUUCAGUCCUUAUCACUUCUCCUUCGUAGUCUACCCAUCCGUCCUUGAUGAUUUGCCUCCUCUGGUUGCGGUUGCGUUGUCUUCUUCUUGUCCUGACCUGCUUAGAAUCUUCAACUAUAUAGUUAGAAUCAUUAAAGUAGUGGCGUACCUUCUCAGAGGGGAAGUGCAUGUGGACUUCUCUGGUUCCAAUAUAGAUAAUGGCUUUGAUAGUGCUGAGGAACGGUCUUCCAAGGAUGGUGGAUGGAUCAUACUCGUCUUCUCCCAUGUCAAUGACCUGAAAAUUGUCUGAAGCUGAAUGUAUCUUGGUUGUAGGGGCAUGGUUCCAUGUAGGAGCUGAUAAGUGCCUGCAGCCAUUAUGUUGUCGUCAGAUCCGGUGUUGUAGAGUGUCUUCUGAAAAGAGUAUCCGUUGAUUGUGCACUCGAUGCUUGGAACACCAGGGUCGUUCUUCUUGAUCAAGAAAGGUGACUUGAGUCGACGAUCUUGACCUUUUUGAACUGCAGUGACCAUCUUAGCUGACUCGGUCCAUAUUUGCUUGUUCCUGUUCCUCCUGUUGGUCCUCUUCCUUGGUUCAUAUCGGGAUUGCUCUGAAGCUUGUGUAGUCUUGUUCUUGAAGGAAAGUCUCCUUCUUCCCCUUGAUGUAGAAACUGAUCUUGGCAGCAUUAACGUAGAUGACCACUCUGGUGUUUAGGAAUGGCCUCCCUAAGAUGAUGGGUGCCCUCUCCUCACUACCAGUCUCUAUCACCAUGAAGUUUGCUGGAGCGUACAAGGUACCAACUCGGACACAGAGGUUCUUCAAUAUUUCCUUUGGGAAACUAAGUGUCUGAUCUCCAUUGUGUUUGUGCUCGUAGAUCCCGGUUCUUCACUUGGUGGAAUCUGGGAGUUGUAAAACUCCUCCAUGUUUUGUUUGAAGUGUACCUAUUCAUAGAGACAAGGCAGAGAUCAAGUGCAUGGGCCCUGUUGGUGGAAAACACCAACAGAACCAAAAGUGUAUUUGUUCUUCUCUAACCUUAAGCAUAGUGAGCAAGACAAAGUUGAUGGAUCAUGAGUGUAGCAUUUGUCAGAUCAGAUGGCUCAACCUAAUAGAAAGAUAAUCUAUCUAUAUUUAUGUUUUGUUUAUAUCUUCCAAAGAUUGCAUGUGCAAUACUUUAGCUUAUAUGAUUAGGAGUGUGGGGUCACGAAGGUAGUACUAAGAACAAAGAUUAAAGGACUAAACAUGUUGAAUUAAUUGAGUUGGUUAAUUUGGAGUUAUAAAUCAUACAUGUUUGUCUCUUUAUUUAUGUGAAUGCCAGAACCAAGGAGGAGCUUAUAAAAGUGUUAGUCAAGUACCUUAAGAUGUUACCUUACUUGAAGAGUGAUGGUACAGUAUCACCUUGUGGAAGCUUUCCUUUCUUAGCGGUUGUGCAUCGUGUUUGUGGCACCCAACAUGAAUCAUCUCUUAUGAGCUACGUCUUUCUUGUGCAAAUUGUUAAACUUCAUGUGUCACUUUCUUCAUCUCCAAUGAGUUUGCAUCUCAGGACUUCCCAGGUUGAUAUUGAAAGUUUUCCUACUGGGGUUAGUCCAACAAAAUAUACCAAUAUCUACUCAAGCAGUUUUUAGUUCAGUAACCAAACUAGACUCCAUGUCUAAUCAGAUUAAGGAAGGCUAUUUAACCUAAGCACCACGCUUAAUUUAAAUGCCAUUGGAAGUGUGUCCAGUACUUCCAAACUAACACUUACUAGGAUAAACAAAGGUAGCAUGAUGGCUUUUAUAGAGAUCUACUCAAGUGGAGAUGAAGUAGUGUGAUUAGUAUUUAACAAAUUGAGCAUGUCUCAAAGGUAAGGACAACCAACAUAGCAACAUGGCAAAGGAUGUUUUAUGUAAAGUACUCCCCCAAGCUUGAAUUUUGCAAAAUUUAAGAUUGGAUGAAUUUAAUUUAAUGUUGCAUGAUGAUUGGUUGGGCAUACCUUGCGCUCGUCAUUCAUCCGAUCUUCUUGCUCCAAUCCUAGAAAGGUUAGUGGCAAGAAUACCCGAAGGAAUAUUUCUACAAUUAUCUUUAUAUGCUCAAUACACAAGGCAAUGUUGCAAAUAAUUAGAAGUGCUUGUUUUAGGACAUUGUUGACGGUUCUUAAGUAUCAAUUUUAAUUAUCAAAUAAACAAGAGAAAGGACCAAUAUGCAACCAUCACCUAGAAUUAGGGUUUGAUCUGACAGAAUUCCACGAGUUUUGUUGUUUAUCUAUUUCUGCAGGGGGUUAUCAGGAAAUAAGGAAGAAAGGCCCACAUGUCGGGAUUACAUAGAGAUAUCAACGCACCGCGCAAUUUUACAUCAUCUAGAAGACUCCAGAAGCCACGAGACCGAAGCGGAGGCGAAGCUGGGCCAGGCUCAGGGCGCCCGCCCUGGAAGCCUGGGCGCCCGCCCCCCUGCUGGAGCCAAUUCAGGACUCCUUCGCUCGGGAUAUUCCACCGACCUAUUGGAUCAAGAAAAACAUAGUACCACCUCGGCUAUCGACCCAAAAACGCAUAGAAGGGGAGGACUAUAUAAGCGAGGCCCCCCUGGCCCCUGGAAGACAUGAAGAAAUUAUCAUAGAGACUGAGGGGUGCCCUCGAAGGAAAACCUCUUCUCUAAUUAAUAUUUCUUUUUAGGCUUAGAAAUCAAUGUAAGGUAGAAAUAGAUCUUCUAGUUUCUACUAGAUUGAGAGAGAUAGAGUGGAGGUGUAGAGUGGAGGAAGCCCGGCCUGUCGGUGUCUACUCCAAGCUUGUACCUGCGGGAUCAAGUUCUCCUAACCCGAAGCUUGCUCCUAGGAUUCUUCAGUAAUUCGACUUCUAAAUUCUAGUAAGUUCUUGUUUUAUUGUUCUUAUGGUUAUGAGUUUACUUUAAUCUCUUCGCGUAGAGUUUAGAGUAAUCAUUGCUGGCGUAAACGUGGUGUUUAGGCUGCGGUACUCAUAGAUAUUCCCUGACUAGCUGGACCGUGGUAGUAGUGAGGAACGUGACAAUUCCGAGCUACCUUUGUAGAUCACAUCUCGUUAGCAGGAAGGAUAGGGUUUAUAGGUGCGGGUCGAACAUCCUUUGUGUUGUCUAGAUUCCGUUAGCCUCCCCAUUAGAACAGCAGAUCAUCCUUACCAAGGUUAGAAGGAGACUACGGUUGCAGUCUUCUCUAUUUAUCACUCACAUCGAGAGACAUUCUUUGUGCCUAAAGGGAUAGUAGCAAUAGAUUUGGUUAGUCAGAUGCACCCUUUCUCCCAGUGGUAAAAAUAUAAAUACGAUACUCUGGAAAACCUCCCGGGUGAAAUGCUCACCGAUAUUCGUGCGCUUGCGGAUCAUUUUCUAAUUGCGUUACCAAAUAUCAACAAGCAUUUCUGGCGCCGUUGCCGGGGAGAAAGACGGUUUGCUGAGAUAACUUUGAGUCUUGCUAUUAUCUUGUAUUAUACUUUUAUACUUUUAUUCUUUUAUCUUUUUAUCUUUAUGGAUAACUUAGAUUCCAUACCUAUUAUUAAAUUCUUUGCACCUUCGGAGACCAGCCAUAGACCAUGGGAGUCAACACGUCCUGCCCCUAAUUAUGAUAUGUGUCCGGAGUUGAUUGCAAUAGGUCAAAACCAACCCUUUUCUAUAGCUGAGGUCCUAUCUUUUAAUCAAAAAGAUAAUGCACUUUUAGCUACACCUAGGGAAUCUUUUAAUUUUUCUAUAAAUUUUGGUUUAGACCUAGCCUUGCAAGACCAUGUUUUUCCUAGAUAUUUUCACAAUCGUCUUAAUCAUAUAACCUUUGGUAGAGUCCUUCUUUCUUUAUCAGUUAGUAACGGAAGGUAUGUCUUCAUUCGUGGACAUCCUUCUUGUACUAGUCUUCAUAGAAAAAUCAUAGAGAUAGAGAAGGAAUCAUCUCCCAUACAAGGAGAGGAAGUUUCAAUAGCCGAUUUCCAAACUUUCCAAUCCCAUGAUUCGGCUAUCCAACCCAUCCUUGAGCCUAAUAAUCUCUACUAUGCUCUUUCUCUUGAACCUCCCGAUAAUCCUAUGAAUCUCUCUAGACAUCCCAUGCAUAAGGAGGAUCGAGGAGAGCAACAUCAAUGGCUAGAGGGCAUUAAAAAUUCAUGUGCUAUCACCAAAUUUGAGAUCUCCAACCCUCUCUUUUUUUCUAUUUAUAAAAACCUUAAAAGAGCGGUUGUCGAUGCAUAUGUUUAUAACAAAUAUUGCAGAUCUCGUCGAGUUAAUUGAUGGUUUCCCAGGACAAGCUUAGUGUCCUAAAACAAGCACUUAUCAGAUUGUAACAUGAACUUCUAAUUACUUGCAACAUUACCUUGUGUAUUGAGCAUAUAAAGAUAAUUGUAGAAAUAUUCCUUCGGGUAUUCUUGUCACUAACCUUUCUAGGAUUGGAGCAAGAAGACCGGAUGAAUGACAAGCGCAAGGUAUGCCCAACCAAUCAACAUGCAACAUUGAAUUAAAUUCAUCCAAUCUUGAAUUUUGCAAAAUUCAAGCUUAGGGGAGUACUUCACAUAAAACAUCCAUUGCCAUGUUGCUAUGUUGGUUGUCCUUACCUUUGAGACAUGCUCAAUUUGUUAAAUACUAAUCACACUACUUCAUCUUCACUUAAGUAGAUCUCUAUAAAUGCCAUCACGCUACCUUUGUUUAUCCUAGUAAGUGUUAGUUUGGAAGUACUGCACAUACUUCUAUUGGCUUUUAAAUUAAGCAUGGUGCUUAGGUUAAACAGCCUUCCUUAAUCUGAUUAGACAUGGAGUCUAGUUCGGUUAUCGAACUAAAAAUUGCUUGUGUAGACAUUGGUAUAUUUUGUGGGACUAACCCCUGCAGGAAAACUUUCAAUAUCAACCUGGGAAGUCCUGAGAUAAACUCACAUUGGAGAUAAAGAAAGUGACACAUGAAGUUUAGCAAUUUGCACAAGAAAGACGUAGCUCAUAAGAGAUGAUCCAUGGAGGGAGCCACAAACACGAUGCACAACCGCUAGAAAGAAAAGCUUCUACAAGGUGAUACUGUACCAUCACUCUUCAAAGGUAACAUCUUAAGGUACUUGACUAUCCUUUUAUAAGUUUCUCCUUGGUUCUGGCGUUCACAUAAAUAAAGAGACAAACAUGUAUGAUUUAUAACUCUAAAUUAACCAACCUAACUGAUUCAACAUGUUUAGUCCCUUAAUCUUUGUUCUUAGUACUACCUUCGUAAUCCCACGCUCCUAAACAUAUAAGCUAAUAUGUUGCACAUUCAAUCUUUGGAAGAUAAAAACAAAACAUAAAUAUAGAUAGAUUAUCUUUCCAUUAGGUUGAGCCAUCUGAUCUAACAAAUGUUUUAAAUGCUACACUCAUGAUCCAUCAACUUUGUCUUCCUCACUAUGCUUAAGGUUAGAAAAGAACAAAUACACUUUUGGUUCUGUUGGUGUUUUCCACCAACAGAGCCCAUGCACUUGAUCUCUACCUUGUCUCUAUGAGCAGGACACAUUUUGAGAAACGUGAAGGCAUUUUACAACUCCCAGAUUCCAUUAAGUGAAGAACCGGGAUCUACGAGCACAAACACAAUGGAGAUCAGACACUUAGUUUCCCAAAGGAAAUAUUAAAGAACCUCUGUGUCCAAGUUGGUACCUUGUACGCUCCAGCAAACUUCGUGGUGGCAGAGAGUGGUACUGAGGAGAGGGCACCCAUUAUCUUAGGGAGGCCAUUCCCAAACACGAGAGCUGUCAUCUACGCUAAUGCUGCCAAGAUCAGUCUCUACAUCAAGGGGAAGAAGGAGACUUUCCUUCAAGAACAAGACUACAUAAACUUCAGAGCAAUCCCAACAUGAACCAAGGAAGAGGACCAACAGGAGGAACAGGAACAAGCAAAUGUGGACCGAGUCAGCUAAGAUGGUCACUGCAGCUCAAGGAGGUCAAGAUCAUCGACUCAAGCCACCUUUCUUGAUCAAGAAGGACAACCCUGGUGUUCCAAUCAUGGAGUGCACAACCAAUAGAUACUCUUUUUAGAAAACACUCUACGACACCGGAUCUAACAUCAACAUAAUGGCCGCAGUCACUUAUCAGCUCCUGCAUGGAACCAUGCCCCUACAACCAAUAUAUAUUUAGCUCCAGAUGAUUUUUAGAACAUUGAUAUGGGAGAAGACGAGUACGAUCCACCCAUCAUCCUUGGAAGACCAUUCGUCAACACUAUCCAAGUUAUCAUCUACAUUGGAACCGGAGAAGUCCACGUGUAUUUCCCCUCUGAGAAGGUACGCCAUUACUUUAAUGAUUCUAACUAUAUAGUUGAAGAUUCUAAGCAGGUCAGGACAAGAAGAAGACGACGCAACCGCAACCAGAGGAGGCAAAUCAUCAAGGACGGAUGGGCAGACUACGAAGGAAAAGUUGUAAGGUCAGAAGACGUUGAGUUUAAACAGAAUUAUCCAGAGGAGACGGAAGCACCAAGUCAGGAGUGGAAAAGGAAGAUAACUAUACAUGAAGAGGAGGCGCUACCGGAAGUACCGACUAUGCCACCCAACGAACCUCAGAUAAUUGAGAAGGAGGAGAGUCCCGUUCGGAGGACUUAAAAACACCGAACGCCUUGCCAAGAGGUAAACUUGGUAGUUAUCCUUUCCCUUUCAAUUAUUUCAAGUAGUUCACUUAGUUAAUUAAGUUUUAAACAGAAAGUAAAAAUGUGAAAAACAGUAAGCCUCAUGUGAGGAUACGAGUGGCAUAAAACGCAUAAGUACAUUCACUGUGGUGGCAUAAAAAUAAAACAAAAAUAUUUUUCUGCUUUAUAAAAUAAAAAAUAUAAAAACAGGGAGUAAUAAUUAUUAAGGAGUCUCAACAUGAUAAAGGCUAGAUAUUUAUGCUAACACUUAAUUAGUUCCACAAGCUUUGUUGUCUAUUUGAGCUCCACAGAAUCUAAGAAUCAAGAAGACUGGCAGACGGAGGAUAUUCUAAUCGCUGUCACAAUGCUGCUGACUUUCAAAUACACCUCUGCCACCUGCUAGCUACAUCAAGAGAAAUUACGUCAAAAUUCAGCUUGGAGGAGAGCACCCCAUUUAUCUCGAUAAGUAUUUCUAUCUAUCUAUCUCUAUACUUAUAUUCUUUUAGAAUAUAAAUAUACAUAACUAUGAAAAACCAAAUAAAGAUUUUAUGCUUAUAUAUAUGUCUUUUGCUUAGUGUGUUUAAUAAAUAAAUAAAGUGGCUAUGCUAAUCUGUAUCUAAAUAAAACUCAAGCAUGGAAAUGAUGAAUAGUUGCUCUACCUAAUUUGCACAUUUUAAGUUCUCUCUCAAGUUUAGACAUAACUGUUAUAAUUUAAAGCUUGCUCUAGACCUAAACUUGUGGGAUGAAAACUUGAUCUGAAAUCUAAGUUGUUAACAGAUACGAUAUGGGAAGGUUGAGCUGCUAUUUAUCUGUUUCUAGAGAUGCUAGAAUUCUGGAGAAUUUUAUCUUUGGAAAUCUUUAAAAUGUUGCAUGAUGAGUUCCUGUAUGAUGAGAGUUUAAAUUCCUACCACAGCCAUAUAUACAUGCUUGCUAGACUUCGAGCCACACAAUUACUUUUUACUGCUUAUGAGCAUUGAGUGUGGUCAAGCUGUGUAGACCCUUAGGAGCUUGUCAUGUGGUUAAAUCAAGAUUCACUUGCACGUUCACUCACACAUGCUACUUCUACUCCGGAAGUACCAUCCACAUAUAUCCAUACAUUUCCAUCUUCAGAAUCACCCAAAAAUAUUCUACUCCUAAUCCGGGAGAGAAUAGCCAAAAAUAAUUUUGUUCUUCCUUGUGUAAUAAAUGCCUCAAGAUCAAUAAAGAGUAUUAUUAUUAUGUCUUGUGUGUCUCUACUUUAUUUUUGUGCAAGAAAGCAGAAAACAAGUAUGGGGGAGAUCCCUCGACAUGCUAAACACACUCCGACUACACCACUCCACGAUUCAGGUACACACUCUGCACACUUUACUUCAUACAUAUAUUUAUUUUGGAUUAUGCAGAUUACUGUUUCCGACAUGAUAAAAUAAAAAGAUUAAAAUAUUUCUAAUCAUGAUUAAUCUCAAUCUGUGAUAUUUCCUGAAAACUUGCAAUUAGUAUAAAAUCAUUUUUAAAAACCCUAUGUUACUUAAGUCAAGAUGGAAUAUGUGAUGGUAGAGUAUGAGUUUCUUAUUCUUGAUAUCAUUGUUGGUUGGAGAAUUUAUUUCAAAAUGUUCAAAUUCAUAGCUACCAUCCUCAGUGUUUUAUAUGCCUGAUAAAACUGAAAUAUUAAUUAUGAUUAUAAAAGCUAUCUGCUCUGUAUUGAGUUUGUUCAAAAUGAGUUAGACCCUUGUUGAGAGAUUUAUCAUGCUCCCAAGAUCAAGACACUAUUUCAGUAAGAUUCACUCUUUCGAAGUAUUAUUGCAUUAGAGGCAUGGGCUAUGCAAAAAUAGAAAUAUUUCGAGGAAAUAAAAAGGAGCAAGUGCUCGACAACCUCGCAGAAAAAAAUGGACAAGUGUCCGGCAGUAGAAUUAGGGGUACCUCGGUAUCCACUUAAAAAAAAGAAAAGAGAAAAAAAUGACAGCCCAUGGUCCCUCUAAUAAGCAAUAUGCGAGCAAGAGUUGACAAAGUUUUUAAGUUCCAAAGUCUUUGAUCUAAGAGUAUGACAUUUCCCUCCUCGGAUCCCGUUUUGAUCAGGCAAUAAAUGCAAAGUAAGUAUGUUUGAGAAUUUUUUGCAAAAAUUAAAACAGCCUCAGCGAGAUAUAUAUAAAAGAUAAUGAGUGAUCUGAGAGAACCUAUGAGGAUCAAAAGGUAUGCUAACUUUCUUUCAAAAAUAUACAAAAACUCCAAGUGACAGGAUUGAGAAGAAAGGAUCUUUACUCUUAACCAUAUACAUCUCUGAUUAUGGUACACAGUGGAUUUUUAACACCCUGCAAAUAUAAAGAAUGUUUUAAAUGUUUACCCCAAAUAUUGUUCUUAACCAUCCUUUUCUCGAGGACGAGUAAAAGCCUAAGUAUGGGGGUAUUUGUUGACGGUUCUUAAGUAUCAAUUUUAAUUAUCAAAUAAACAAGAGAAAGGACCAAUAUGCAACCAUCACCUAGAAUUAGGGUUUGAUCUGACAGAAUUCCACGAGUUUUGUUGUUUAUCUAUUUCUGCAGGGGGUUAUCAGGAAAUAAGGAAGAAAGGCCCACAUGUCGGGAUUACAUAGAGAUAUCAACGCACCGCACAAUUUUACAUCAUCUAGAAGACUCCAGAAGCCACGAGUCCGAAGCGGAGGCGAAGCUGGGCCAGGCUCAGGGCGCCCGCCCUGGAAGCCUGGGCGCCCGCCCCCCUGCUGGAGCCAAUUCAGGACUCCUUCGCUCGGGAUAUUCCACCGACCUAUUGGAUCAAGAAAAACAUAGUACCACUUCGGCUAUCGACCCAAAAACGCAUAGAAGGGGAGGACUAUAUAAGCGAGGCCCCCCUGGCCCCUGGAAGACAUGAAGAAAUUAUCAUAGAGACUGAGGGGUGCCCUCGAAGGAAAACCUCUUCUCUAAUUAAUAUUUCUUUUUAGGCUUAGAAAUCAAUGUAAGGUAGAAAUAGAUCUUCUAGUUUCUACUAGAUUGAGAGAGAUAGAGUGGAGGUGUAGAGUGGAGGAAGCCCGGCCUGUCGGUGUCUACUCCAAGCUUGUACCUGCGGGAUCAAGUUCUCCUAACCCGAAGCUUGCUCCUAGGAUUCUUCAGUAAUUCGACUUCUAAAUUCUAGUAAGUUCUUGUUUUAUUGUUCUUAUGGUUUAUGAGUUUACUUUAAUCUCUUCGCAUAGAGUUUAGAGUAAUCAUUGCUGGCGUAAACGUGGUGUUUAGGCUGGGGUACUCAUAGAUAUUCCCUGACUAGUUGGACCGUGGUAGUAGUGAGGAACGUGACAAUUCCGAGCUACCUUUGUAGAUCACAUCUCGUUAGCAGGAAGGAUAGGGUUUAUAGGUGCGGGUCGAACAUCCUUUGUGUUGUCUAGAUUCUGUUAGCCUCCCCAUUAGAACAGUAGAUCAUCCUUACCAAGGUUAGAAGGAGACUACGGUUGCAGUCUUCUCUAUUUAUCACUCACAUCGAGAGACAUUCUUUGUGCCUAAAGGGAUAGUAGCAAUAGAUUUGGUUAGUCAGAUGCACCCUUUCUCCCAGUGGUAAAAAUAUAAAUACGAUACUCUGGAAAACCUCCCGGGUGAAAUGCUCACCGAUAUUCGUGCGCUUGCGGAUCAUUUUCUAAUUGCGUUACCAAAUAUCAACAGACACUAAGCUUGUCCUUGGGGAACCAUCAAUUAACUCAACGAGAUCUGCAAUAUUUAUUAUAGACAUACGCAUCGACAACCGCCCUUUUAAAGUUUUUAUAAAUAGAAAAGAAGAGGGGGUUGGAGAUCUCAAAUGUGGUAAGGAUGGAGAGACAAAUUGAUUGGAGAGAUGUUUUAUAUGAGCAAGGACUGGGUGAGGUAUUUAUGAAAUAACUUCCAUGCUCACUGUUGUUUCUCUCGUUCUCAAACUCCAAGGAUGAUUCUUCAUGAAUGUUUAAAAUUCCUCUAGGAUUGUCUCUCAAGUUUGUUUUAUCUAUCCAUUCAAUGGUGAUAGCACAUGGAUUUUUAAUGCCCUCUAGCCAUUGAUGUUGCUCUUCUCGAUCCUCCUUCUUAUGCAUGGGAUGUCUAGAUAGAUUCAUAGGAUUAUCGGGAGGUUCAAGAGAAAGAACAUAGUAGAAAUUGUUAAGAUCAAGGAUGGGUUGGAUAGCCGAAUCAUGGGAUUGAAAUGUUUGGAAAUUGGCUAUUAAAACUUCCUUUCCUCGUCUAGGAGAUGAUUCCUUCUCUAUCUCUAAGAUUUUUCUAUGAAGACUAGUACAAGAAGGAUGUCCACAAAUGAAGACAUACCUUCCUUUACUAAUAGAUAAAGAAAGAAGGACUCUACCAAAGGUUAUAUGAUCAAGACCAAUGUGAAAAUAUCUAGGAAAAACAUGGUCUUGUAGGGCUAGGUCUAAACCAGAAUUUAUAGAAAGAUUAACAGAUUCCCUAGGUGUAGCUAAAAGUGCAUUAUCUUCUUGAUUAAAAGAUAGGACCUCGGCUAUAGAAAAGGGUUGGUUUUGACCUAUUGCAAUCAACUCCGGACACAGAUCAUAAUUAGGGGCAGGACGUGUUGACUCCCAUGGUCUAUGGCUGGUCUCCGAAGGUGCAAAGAAUUCAAUAAUAAGUAUGGAAUUUGAGUUAUCCAUAAAGAUGGAAAAAAUAAAAAGAUAAAAGAAUAAAAGUAUAAAAGUAUAAUACAAGAUAAUAGCAAGACUCAAAGUUAUCUCAGCAAACCGUCUUCCUCCCCGGCAACGGCGCCAGAAAUGCUUGUUGAUAUUUGGUAACGCAAUUAGAAAAUGAUCCGCAAGCGCACGGAUAUCGGUGAGCAUUUCACCCGGGAGGUUAUCCAGAGUUAUCGUAUUUAUAUUUUUACCACUGGGAGAAAGGGUGCAUCUGACUAACUAAAUCUAUUGCUACUAUCCCUUUAGGCUACAAAGAAUGUCUCUCGAUGUGAGUGAUGUAUAGAGAAGACUGCAACCGUAGUCUCGUUCUAACCUUGGUAAGGAUGAUCUACUGUUCUAUUGGGGAGGCUCACAGAAUCUAGACAACACAAAGGAUGUUCGACCCGCACCUAUAAACCCUACCCGUCCUGCUAACAAGAUAUGGGAUACAAAGGUAACUCGGAAAUGUCACGUUCCUCGCUACUACCACGGUCCAGCUAGUCAGGGGAUAUCUAUGAGUACCCUAGCCUAAACACCACGUUUACGCUAGCAAGUGAUUACUCUAAUACUCAACCGGAAGAGGAUUAAAGUAAACUCAUAAACUAAUGAACAAUAAAACAAGAACUUACUAGUAUUAGAAGUCGAAUUACUGAAGAAUCUUAGAAGCAAGCCUCGGGUUAGGAGACUUGAUCCCACAGGUACAACUCGGAGUAGACACCGACAGGCCGGCCUUCCUCCGAUCCACACCUCCACUCUAUCUCUCUCAAUCUAGUAGAAACUAGAAGAUCUAUUUCUACUUUACAUUGGUUGCUAAGCCUAAAAAGAAAUAUUAUUUAGAGAAGAGGUUUUCCUUCGAGGGCACCCCUCAAUCUCUAUGAUAAUUUCUUCUCUUCUCCAGGGGCUAGGGGGGUCUCCUUAUAUAGUCCUCCUCCUCUAUGCAUUUUUGGUUCAGCAGGCGAUGUGGUACUAAACUUUCCACCAUAUCUCAUUAAAAUGCACAUAGGCCUUAAUGGACCAAAAUCUGAUUUGGGCCCAAUUAAUCCCGGAGCUCUUUUAUAUGGAGUCCUUCUUUUAUUAAUAUCUUUUGAUUCCGAACUCCAAAUAUAGCAAGUAAUAUAUGCAUUUCGAUCAGCUCGACGAGAUCUUUGCAAUGGUGUACUCCAUUCUGUGAUUGGUGGAAACACCUGGGCGGACGCCCAAGGGGGGUGGGCGGGCCUCCCGUUCGGCCUCCCGUUCGUUCUCGUGGCUUCUCGAGUCUUCUAGAUGAUAGAAAAUUGCGCGGCACGUUAAUAUCUCUAUGUAAUCCCGACGUGUGGGCCUUUAUUCCAUAUUUCCUGAUAACCCCCUGCAGAAAUAGACAAACACCAAAACUCGUUGAAUUCUGUCAGAUAAAACCCUAAGUCUAGGUGUUGGUUGCAUUUGGAUCCUUUUCUUUAUUUAUUUGAUGAUUAUAUUUGAUACUUAAGGACCGUCAACACCUCGCGCCAACUUUGAAAGCAUGAGGUCAAUUACCCUACUCGCGACUUAGAAUUAGUAGGAGUUGUUCAUGCUUUGAAAAUCUGGAGGCACUACUUGUUGGGUAAUCUGUGCAAUAUCUACACCGAUCAUAAGAGCCUCAAGUACAUCUUCACUCAACCUAAAUUGAACAUGCGGCAGUGAAGGUGGCUUGAGUUGAUUAAAGAUUAUAAUCUACAAGUGCACUAUCAUCCGGGCAAGGCAAACGUGGUUGCGGAUGCCUUUAGUCAGAAAGUGCACUGUCACUCAAUCCAGGUGGAAGAUCUGUUGUUGUCACAUCUUAUGCACCCACUUGUGCUCAACCAGAUUUCUCUGGAGAGUACUCUUCGCAAUCAAGUCAUCGCAUUCCACCAUAUAAAGAGGAAAAUGAAAGAAGAAGAAACCAAGCAUUUCCGGGUCGAUGAGAACAGAGUUCUUUGGUUCAAAGAUCGACUCGUGGUUCCAAAAGACCGUGAACUACGAAAUUAGAUCUUAUCUGAAGCUCAUUCAUCCAAAUUGUCUAUCCAUCCUGGUAGUAGCAAGAUGUGUCAGGAUCUGAAACCUCUAUUUUGGUGGACAAAGAUGAAACAAGAGAUUGCUGCUUUUGUCGCUCGUUGUGACAAUUGUUGCCGCGUGAAGGCCGUUCACAUGAAAGCUGGUUUACUUCAACCCUUGUCAAUUCCUGGUUGGAAAUGGGAAGAAGUCAGCAUGGAUUUCAUCGUUGGACUUCCAACUUCUGUCAAGGGUUACGACUCUAUCUGGGUGAUUGUAGACCGUUUGACCAAGGUUGCUCGUUUUAUUCCAGUCCGAACUGACUAUCAUCCACAUCAAUAUGUGGAGUUGUACUUUGAGCACAUUGUCCGUCAGUAUGGUGUGCCUUGAACUAUCAUAUUAGACCGUGGACCACAGUUCACUACCCAUUUUUGGGAAUGUCUACAUGAGCAGAUUGGUACUCACUUAGUCCGUAGUUCGGCAUAUCAUCCCCAAACAGCAGGUCAAACUGAACGGGUCAACCAAAUCCUAGAAGACAUGUUGAGGGCAUGUGCUCUCUCUUCUAAAGGUUCUUGGGUUAAGUGGUUGCCAUUAGCUGAGUUCUCCUACAACAAUAGUUAUCAGGAAAGUAUCAAGAUGGCUCCAUUUGAAGCCCUGUAUGGUCGAAAGUGUCGAACCCUGUUGAAUUGGGUGGAAUCCGGGGAACGAAGAUAUUAUGGCAUCGAUUUCGUGAACGAAGCAGAGCAGCAAGUCCGUACCAUCCAGCAACAUCUGGAAGCUGCUCAAGCUCGUCAGAAAAGUUAUGCUGAAAAAAGAGGGAAGCCGAUUGAGUUUGCAGUCGGUGACCAUGUGUAUCUCAAGGUGUCUCCGAUGAAGGGUGUACAAAGGUUCGGAGUCUAGCGAAAGCUUGCACCUCGUUAUGUGGGACCUUAUCGGAUUCACGAAAGGAAAGGAGACGUAGCAUACAAAGUUCAACUCCCAGUUGAACUUCGAGCUAUUUUUCCUGUCUUCCACGUAUCCCAAUUGAAGAAGUGCCAUCGUGUUGCGGAGGAACGAGUGGAAGUUUGGGAUAUCAAGUUGAAGUCGGACUUGGUGUAUGAUGAAAAACCUGUAGCGGUACUUGAAUGCAAGGAACGGGUGACUCGUAAUCGUGUGGUUAAGUUCUACAAGGUGUUGUGGAGUAACCACGAGGAGGAAGAUGCCACUUGGGAAACAGAGGACUAUUUAAAAGAAGUUUAGAAAACAUUCUUGGAAAAUUAGUAAGCUUUCAAAUCUCGGGAUGAGAUUUUUGUAAGGUGGGAGGGCUGUAACACCCCAGUGUUAUGGUUGCAUAAAUCACAUGCAUAACAUGAGCAUCAUCAUCUACUCAAGCAUUCCAUGAUCAUCAUCUACCUUGGGCCAUGUCAUUUUAUGCAAAAAUGUGAUUUAAGUUGUCUUAAUAGGCCUCCUAGACUUGUGUUGGUGUGUACCAUGCUUGUGUUUGUGCUCUAUGCAUUGGUACUUAGUUUAUCUAUGCUUAACUCAACAUUAGGAGCAAUGUUCAUGUUGAUCACUUCUCCAAAAUAAUCACUUAAGUCAUACUUACUCAAAUAGGCCCUAGAAACCUCUUUUGCUUAGGCUUUUAAAAAGUGUUUCAUAAAUUAUUUGCAUGUCACAACUUUCUACAGCAAAGUUGUAGAAUAUUUUAUAAGGAACAAAAGUUGUUUUAUGGCCAUCUCAUGAAAAUGAUCACAUCUUGCUCAAAAAGUGCUUUCAAUGCAGAUUUGGGUGCUGUUUUGGCACUUAGCCAAAUUUGGCUAAGUCAUGGCAUUAACAGUUUGCUCAAACGAUUUUGAAAACAUCAUAUCAUUCAAACCAGGCCGAUCUAGCUCUUGCUCCAGUUGACAAUGUUGUAGAACUCAGCUAGUGCUCCAACUUUGUCAACUACACCAUUGCCUAACUCACGCUGGUUUGACAGUUAAUCGUUGUCAAAGUACCUCUGUCGGUCGGUCAUCGUUUUGUCUGAAUCAGAACGGAGCUCGUCGACGUGGCCGACCGGCGGCAGAGCAACGGCGACAUUUGGCAUCCGUACGUCGUUCCUGGCCCCGCUCGUCAGCUCCCAGCGUGCGCAUGUCCUCCACGGCGACGCCCGGGCGAAGUGGACGCGUCCAUUCCUCUCUGCCUCGCCCUCUCUCGCCAGAAACGCGGCCGCAGCGAGCUCACCGUCGCAAGCUCACUCCGGCGAGCUCGUACGUGUUCCUCGCUGCAUCGCUGUCCACCAAACUUCGCCCACAGCUCCGCCGUGAACCGCUCUCCACUCUCCACCCGCAAACUCACCGUGGAACCCUCCGGUGAGCCGACAUUCCCAACUUCCCCAAAUCGGGUCGCCGUGAUCUUCUUCUCCGACGAUCUCAAUGCCGAGCUCUUCGAAGCCUCUCGUCUUCUCUGGUUAGGUCCUAGAGGUAGCUUAGAUCCUUAGCAAGCGUUUGCGCCACUUGGUGGAUGCUCUACCGCGCUCACCGUCGCCGGACACGACGCGCAGCGCCGCCGUGUUUCCACCGGAGUUAGGCUCUCUCGUGGCCAGCUCCUUCCACACCGUCUCAGGCCAAGCCACCUACCUAGAAAGCUUCGUCGUAGUCCGCUGGUGCUGUAGGAAACCCUAGGUCGCGCUCUACCGGCUUGAGGGCUCCGGCGUAACGCCGAGCACCUCCGCCGAGCCUCCAUGAUCGACGGCGAGACAUUUCUGGUGGCUCCGCCGUGGGGAAAAGGGGGUCAAUCGAGUCGCAAGGGUCUGGCUGUCACGAUGGUGCCCUUGGUUUGGCCGGAGACCUCGCCGUCGCGGAGAAAUCGCCGGCGAGAGUCGCCUCGGCUGUGGGGAAGACGACCCUGACAUGCAGGGCCCGCUGUCAGUGUCACCUCACUUCCCUCCUUUUCUUUAUUCAAAUCCAGAUUUUUAGCUUUAUUGCAAAAAUCAUAUCUUGUGUUUCUGAGAUCCAGAAAUUGUGAAACCAAUUUUGUGAUGUUCAUUGAGAUGGCUAGUUUUAUUAUAAAUAUAAAAUGGACCAUGUUUUCUGGGAAAAAUAAUUAUUAGGAUUUAAUAUUGUUAUUUAUGAGUAAAUUCAUAUCUUUUGUUAUACUGCUCCUUUUGCCAUGAAAUUUUUAUGGUAGUCUCUGUGUGGUACUUGAAUGCUAUGAUAAAUAUUUCAGGAUUUUUGGAGUACUGCAUCUGUGUUAUGUAAUUUAUGAUUGAGAUAUAGCUUGUUUUCUUAUUAAAAUCAUAUUAUAUAAUGGAUGUUUAUGCUGAUGCUCUACUGUGGUGGCAAACUUGUUUAUGGUAUUGGUAACAUGUAAAUAAUCGGAAAUGUGUUGUUUGACAUAUAGCCAUGUUUCUGAAUUUAUGAAAUAAACACCUUGUCACAUGUUAAAUGCUUAUCUUAAGUUUGGCAUGUGCAAUUGCUCUGAAAUUUUUAUGGUGAUGUCACAAUGCUAUGCUUGUGCUUCUGUAAUUUUUGUAGAUUUUUCUGAGCAACUUUACUAGUAUCUUGUAAUUAUGCUCCUUUCUAGAAUUAAAUUAAUAAGUGCCUUGUUAGUAAAUGUUUAGAGGUUAACAUGUGAUGUUCUGGUGGUCUUAUGAUGUGUUUGUGCUGAUAAGUCUUGUGGUUGGCACUGUUUAUGUUUUGGCUAUGUCAUCAAAUAAUUAAUUGGUGGGCUAAAAGCUGUUCUGGACAGCAAGGGAGUAAUUUAACUUUUGCUUAAUGAUAACUUGGUUUUCUAGGAAACUUGUCUAAAUCAAAGUUGUGUUCAACUUUAUGAACUAGCUGUGGUUUAAAUUUGGGAUCAUUUGGCCCAGUAGUCUUGAAGUUAUGAUCUUUCCAAGUUAGGUUCCAGAAAUAGGUGUUCUCUGUUUUUCUGGGACAGAACCUGGAACUUUGUUUAUAAGGCUUGCUUAACUUAUGAAUCUUGCUGUGAUGUUUAAAGAUGGUUUGUAGACAGUUUCAUAAGCUUUCCAAAAUGUCCUCACUCAUGUUUGUUGGAUCUGCCUAGCAUUAGUUAUGACCUGUUUACUGAGCUAAUUCUGUUUUGUGAUGCUUGCUGAUAUAGUAACUUGGUAGGUUUUGGCUAAGCUAACUUAUCAUCUUGUGUGAACUUGUUAUAACCGUUACUCAGUAAAUGAGUGUCCAGUGAAGUCCUUAGUGCAUUGUCAAGCAUUCAUUCCCUUCUACUAUGCACCCAUUCUUACUUAUCGUGCAUGCAAUAGGUGCACCGGACGCAACCGCAUCGUUCGAGCUCCAGGUGAACCCCGAAGGCCAGGAGGGCAACCCGGAGGUGGAGGUCCAGCAAGUCGGACUCAAGGAGCCCGAAGAAGAGGUUGAGUGCCCUAACCACGAGCCAGCUUCGUUCGUAAAAGGCAAACCUCGGAGCAUUCUAAGUCUCCCUUUAUUUUCGAAUGUUUACUUAAAUAUGUUAUAUCUAUUGAUGCAUUAAGUAUAGGAGUUGUGAUGAAACCUUUGCUGCAUUUUACUCAAUCCUUAUCCAGAUAUUUUACCACUACCUGGUUAUGGAGUUAGGAUCGAGUAGUGAAAGGUCCUUGUUUGGUUUUGGUAAUUGAGUGACAACUUAGGUGGACUAAUAGUGUUUAUGUGAGAUACACAGGAGAUUAGUCCACAGGUGAUGAUGUGAUGAUGGAGGAGCUCAUUGCAUAUGAGACAUGACAUGGAGUCAUGUGAACAAGGUGGAGAAGAUCAAGAUGAGGCUUGGCUUGAUGGACCGGUUGCAAGAGUGAAGGGCAAGUCGGAGGCUUUGAAGCGAGGGACCGCGUGUGACGGUGAAGCUUGAGCAAGACUUGGCGCCGAUGGACCGAGGCAAUGGUGAAGAGCAAGUGAGGUCAAGAUCGAUGAACCAAUACGGUCACGUGGUGAUAUGAAGUGGAUCAUAUCAUUUGGUGAUUGGUUGGUGCAUGUGUUGCAUCAACAUCGGAGGAGAUGGAAUGGAAUGCGCAAGGCAAAGGUAUAACCUAGGGCAUUUCCAUUUCACCGGUCAUAGGUGUGUAGAGAAGUUUAUGACCGGAUUUAGGAUAGAUGGCCGUACUAUCAAGAGGGGCAAACUUGUUUGCAUAUUGGUCAUCUAGUGCCACUUGAGCAAUCUAACUUUGCAUACGUGUUAGGAUCGAGUGGCGUGGCAAGUUGAGAGGCUAACUCCUUUGGGAAAUUGUUUGUGAAAAUGCUAACACACUUGCACAUGGUGGUGUACACUUGUUGGUGUUGGCACACUUUACAAAGGAGGUGGAGUUCCUAGGGUUGAGAGGCGUGUGGGUUCCUCACUUCCUCCCGCCGAGCUUGCGAGGCGGGAUUCGGCGCUUUUGAGAAAAAUAAGUGUAUAUUUUCUUUUGCGCCCGUGGGAAAUUCAGAGAAGUCGCGGGAGUGUUUUCUCUCUGAGAAACACUCACCGGACGCUAAGUGCGGAGGCACCGGACGCUGGCCUCAGCGUCCGGUGUGAUUGACCCUGCUAGGGUUAAGCACCCGAUGCACUCUGAGAGCGUCCGGUGGUUAGCGUCAGGUGUGAGGAGUUUUUGCAACCCUCUGUGCGCACGAGUCCGGUGAGCACCGGACCGUCCGGUGCCCAGCGUCCGUUGAGGUCGCGAGUUUGACACCCUCUCUGCGCACGAGUCCAGUGAGCACCGGACCGUCGGUGUGGACUUGCAGAGCGUCCGGUGGUGCUGUGUAGGCACGCGUGCGCAGUAGCCGUUGGCGGCAACGGUCGUUUUCAAAUGGCUAGUGACACGUGGCCGACGCCUGAGCACCGGACACUGGGAGUUGAGCGUCCGGUGGCUCCCUGUGAGCGUCCGGUGCCCACGUGUUUUGCCCAGUGAAGGGGCAACGGCUAGUUUAGCCCUUGGGGCUAUAAAUAGAAGUGGUGGCCGGCCUUGGCCGGUGCUGAGCACCCUUGGGACUUAGUGUCCAUGCAUGGGGAGUGCUAGUAAAGCCUCUAACUCACAUAUGCUUGAUAGUGAUCAUCCGAUUGUGUGAGUGAGCGAUUCUAGUGCGUUGCAUUGAGAGAUUGCAUCGAGUGGCACUAGGUGUUCGUGUUGCAAGCCGGUGGUGCUUGUUACUCUUGGAGGUUGCCACCUCCUAGACGGCUUGGUGGCUGGUGACUCCGUCGAAGCACGCAAGGAGAUUGUGCGGUGCUCCGGAGAAGAGAUUGUGAGGGGUACGUUGCUCACCCCACGGGGAUCGCGAAGAGCAACUAUAGUUGAGCGAGACGUGAAGAGCGACAAGUGGUCCGGCUGGGUCAAGUGCUAGAGCUUGUGGUAAGCACUCCACGUGGGAGAGUGUGACUUGCGGGUCACCACUAGCAAGAGGACCGGCGGCAACCUUGGAGCUUGUCUCAACGGGGACGUAGCUUGGUGGCAACCAAGUGAACCUCGGGAGAAAAUCAUCGUGUCAACUUUGUUCUUCCCGUUGGUUUGCAAGUCCCUAACACAAGCUUGUAUUUACAUUCGUUUACUUGUGCUUGUGUAGUUGCUCUUGUAAUUAGUUAGCUUGUGUAGCUUGCUAGUUACCUUCUUGCUUGUGUAGCUAGAAGUAGUUCCCUUGCGUGACUAAUUUGGUUUGUGUAACCUUGUUAGUCACUUUGCUUAGUUUGUGUAGCUAAGUAAGUUGCGCUCUCUAAUUUGGCAUUAGUUGCCUUGUUAUUGAGCUUGCUAGUGAGCUUAGGAGCUUUGUGCUUUUGCUUACUAGUUGUGUAGGAGCUCCCCGGUUUGCAAAGUACUAGUUGCAUAGGUUUGUGUGACCUUGCUCCUAGAAUUGAUUAGGUGAGCUCUUGCUAAGGUAGCACCUUGUUUGCUUGUUUAGGAUCUUUUACAAGGUGCUAGAGAACUUAGAUAGAGGGGUGUAGUCUUGGCUAGACCGAUAGUUUUAAUUCCGCAUUUGUUUCGGUUAGCCGGCGUAUUAAUUUUUUAGAAAGGACUAUUCACCCCCCCUCUAGUCCGCCAUCUCGACCCUUCAAGUAGCCGCUUAGCCAUGCUUUAAUCUGUAGAAGUCGGGUGAUUUCUUGUCACCUGCGCGAUAUAGGGUUAUGUCGGAUCACGAUGCACUAUAUGUGCUAUCGUGGAUGGAACCUGAUUAAAUUGACUUAAGCAGGGCGGAGUUUUGCAAAGUUGUAGUAAUUCCGUCUGUGGCAGCUAAGGACCGACCGUUGUACGUCCUCUUGUUAUGUUAAACGCAUUCCUAACACUUAGUUGGCCGGAUAACUCGUUCCGACCGCGAAGCCUAGUAAUAUGACUCAGGCCGGAAGGCCGGCAAGUAUAAAGUGCGCACUACCGGAGGAAGUGCGGUGUGCGGGGGACCAUUGGCGUAAGUCCAAAGGCAGGUGAAUUAAAAUUCCUGACCUCCCUGGCAGAGUGGUAGCCCUGGGAGUGCGGCGCUGAUCGGAACCGCGAUUCCUAAGUCGUACCAAAGGUGACCCAUUGGCUCUCCGACGGGGGAUGCUUGGGUGAGUGCUAGGAAUACCCCUCCAGCUGGAUAGGAAUUCGACUCGAAUCGCCGUCUCUCCCGGUUAGUGAGAACUUGACAGAGCAGCGGCAAACGUAGCAUUCACUAAAGAACUUGGUUCAUGAUAAUGACGAUAGCAAGGAAGAACAUAUGAUGAACUUGAUAUGGUUAUUAUUGCUUGUAAUAAUCAAGUGAAGUGCUUUAGUACAGGUGCUAAUCUAGUGGUAGGCUGAUGAUGAUUAAAUAUGAUGCUCUCACAACAUUGUAGUUAUAAUUUAAGCUUUUGGAAAAUGUUGAGUCAACCAGCUCUACUUGAUAUUAGCCUUGCAUGAUCCUUGGUGUCUUUUAUGUUUUACUAGACGGGUAAGUCUAGAUGAGUACAUUCUCGUACUGAGGGUUUAUUCCCACCUGUUGCAGAUGAUAUCUUUUAUGAUGGCUUCUGCAAGACCUGACUCCAUCCCGCUGGGGAUGAGGACUAACCGUUGGGCAUGGUUCUCUAACAAACUCGUACCUGCUGCUUUUGGAUGGAUGGUGUACGACUCUGGCUAUAACAAGAACUUGUGAACUGAACUUUGGAAAGUGUGUGUAAUAAUUAUUUUGCUUCCGCUACUACAAACAUGGGUUGUAAUAACUAAGUACUCCGAUGUGGUGCCGCUUCGACGGCAAUGAAUGACUAUGUAACACUCGCUGUGUUGUGUUGAACUAUUAUGAUCUUGGUUUGUUGCAGGUUGGUUUGAAGUCCUUUGUGAUUUCAGUUAACUACCGGGAUUAUAUGGGCUCAAGUUUGGAAACUUGAUUGCUUGUCGAUCAUUUCUACACUUGAACUCUUAUAAUUUGGUUGGUUCUGUGACACUGGAUUCACUUGCGCACAAUAAGAAGGUGGUUUCAUUCCAAAAGAUUAGAGAGCUGUUUGAUGGAGUUAAGGCUGAUGCACGAGAACAAGUCAUGAGCCAAGCCAAGAAGUUGUGUACUGAUCUGGAUGAGGUCUUCGAGACACUCUUCGUCGACGUGAAGUAUGGCGUGGUGAAGCCUGAAGAGAAUAAGCACAAGAAGAGCAAGAAGAGCAAGAAGAGCAAGUAGUUGUGUGUGAGUCUCGCAGCACUAAGUGUUAGUGUAGUAUCAAUGUGGUGAUGUCUGGUACUUUGUAGCACAUAAAAUAAGCACUGUUCCCUGUGCUUGUGUCUGGAUCGACUAAGUAUAUGUUAGUGCUUCUAUGCAUGUGUCUAGAACUACUAAGUAUAUCUGUGUUUGGUACUUUGAAUCGACUAAUGGAACCUGUAUGCACAUGUGCUGUCUGGAUCUACUAAGUAUAUGUAUAUGUCAGUGUUAGUAUUUUUUGUUGUUGCUUCUUUCCAUGGGUGAUUCGCUCAAACUGUGAGUGCAUCAAAUUGCACUCAAGGAUCACGCAGUGAGCAUCUAGCAUGCAACUGAAUAGUCAAAACUCAGUUAACCCUCAAUAUAAAUAGGCAACUAACAAUAAUCAGCACAACACACAUUUUAACAUAAGCAUUGUGUGAAUAGUUAAACAAAAAAAUCGUCAUCGGCUUCAUCAUCUGUGGCAACGGCAGGUGCAACAACUCCAUCGUCAAUAUAUUCAUCGACAUCAUCUUCACCGUCAUCACUGAAGUAAUAAUCAGUUGGUUCUGCUACCGAUUGUGCAAUUGCUCUCUGAAUAAUAUAAGUCUCAAUUGCUUCUCCUUCCAUGUCUGUUCGUCGCCAAUUCAUCAACUCCACCUGGUUGCUUCUAACAGUCAUGGCCUCGACCCCAACAAGUAAUGAGUCAACAUCAAUUUCUGCCUCCUCUUCAUCACUAGCUCAUUCCGGCAUCGAGAAAAGGUUUCUUGGUUUGAUUCGAACAAUGCUACACCAAUUUGAUUUCUUUGUGUGAUUCACAUAAAACACUUGCUCUGCUUGUAUCGCCAUAAUGUACGGAUCAUCUGAAUAUGUGAGACAUGCAGUAACAAUAUCUAUAAUUCCGUAUUGAUCCUCGCUGUACCCUGUACCUUUGUUCUUUGAUGGAGCGGGUACAUCGAACCAAUCACACUGAAACAUCAUGACUUCCUUUCCACCUAGAAAUUGUACCGAUAUAAUUUUCUUAAUAACUCCAUACCAGUCCGUAUUACGUUUACUUUCAUCAUCUUGACAAGGACACCACUGUUUUGUGUGAUCAGACUGCUCUCUACCGACACCGUCCAAAAUAGGAAUCCAUUGAUGAAACAUCUAUUGAAUACAUGAGCAAUAUCAUCUCGUCCUUGAGAAAGGUUGUACAACAGCUCAUUUGCAUUUCCUCGCUCAUAUUCUUGUUUGGCCUAUAAUUCCAUUUAAAAAAUAGUAACAUGCUUUCAUUACAUGCAUAAUAUUAUGAAAAAAACAUAUUAUAGUGACUCACUUUGUCCUCGAACGAACCAACAAAUUGCUGCUUGUGUCUUCUCUCAACAUUAUGCGGAUUAUAUUUCUUGAGUACAGCCUUAUGUACACUGCAGUGGGUAAACCAAACAAAAUGCAAGCAAUCAGUAACACAUUUUAUUUUUAAAAAAAUAGCAUGCUGAAAGAAUAAAUUUAACUCACUUAGGCAAAGUAGUGCACUCAUCAGUAUUUGUCAAUAUGUUGUGCCUUAUUCUCAGCAUCUCAGAGUGACUCACUUUCUCGAAACUAUAUCCUUUCUUGCUAUAGUCAGGGUCAGUAAAAACACUCAACCCAACUAGUGGUUCAGGCAUUGUGGUGCUUUUAUUAUGCUCUGGGCGAGUUGGCAUAUCUUUGAAAAACUCAGAACAAAAUGUCAUGCACUCUUUUGUGAUAUAUCCCUCCACAAUUGAGCCUUCAGGAUGUGCUUUGUUCCUCACAUAACCUUUUACCAUAUGUAGAUACCUCUCCAUAUGAUACAUCCAUCUAUAGCAUAUAGGACCACCAAGUGCAACCUCUUCAGCUACAUGAACCGGCAAAUGUACCAUGAUGUCAAAAAAAGUCUGUGGGAAUAUCAUCUCAAGCCGACAUAGAGUCUCCCUAAUCGAAGCACUCAUGUUAGCGAGCUCCUUUCCAUCCAGCUCCUUUGAACAAAGCAAACUGAAGAACAUACUCAAGUCAAUCAAUGGGACAACAACUUCUUCUGGCAGAAUAUUGCGUAGUACUAAUGGUAAAUGUUUAUGGAAUAUAAUAUGAUAAUCAUGAGUUUUCAGACCAGACAGCAGAACGAUUUUCAUCCAUAGAUCUUCGGAUAUUGGACGCAUACCCAUCAGGCAACUUGAGUUCAUGUAGAAAUUUGCAUACAAGUUUCUUGUCAUCUUUGCCUAAUUUGUACAGAGCAGGUGGUAAGGUGAACUUACCAUUCUCACACACUGGAUGCUGAUCCAUCCUUAUCCUGAGAUGAUACAUGUCAAGCCAAGCUUCAUCGUUGUCCUUACUUUUACCUUCUACGUCCAGUAAAGUACCCAAUAUGCUCUCACAUAUAUUUUUGUCAAUAUGCAUCACGUUCAAGUUGUGCCUAAUAAGCAAAUUUUUCCAAUAGGGAAGCUGGAAGAAAAUACUCUUCUUCCUCCAGUUCUGCCAUCUCUUUUCUUCGUCACACUGGUUCCUUUUUUUGGAUUGAGGACCAAAUUUGAUUUGAUCAAAACUUUCAUAGUGUUGCAACACCUGUUCCCCAGUCAGUGGCUCUGGAGACUUCCUAACUUCUGUCUUGUUAUUGAAACUGACCUUGUUUCUACGCUACUUAUGGUCAAAAGGCAAAAAACGAUGAUGCCCCAUGUAGCAAUGCAUCUUCCCAUGCUUUAACCACAAGUAAUCUGUUUCUGUAUGGCAGUAUGGACAUGCAAAAUUACACUUCGUACUCUAUCUAGAAAGCAUUGCAUAGGCUGGAAAGUCAUUAAUUGUCCAUAAAAGAAUUGCAUGCAAAUCAAAAUUCUAACUCUCCUUUGCAUCCCAAGUUUUGACACCCUCUUCCCAAAGAACUUUGAGCUCAUCAAUUACAGGCUGCAUGUAUACAUCAAUGUUAACACCAGGCGAUCUCGCUCCUAGUAUCAUCAUAGACAGCAUCCAAUGCGACUGUUUCAGACACAGCCAUGGAGGUAGAUUAUAAGGAAUUAAAAUCACAGGCCAACAAUUGUAUGACACAUUCAACAUACCAAAUGGAUUGAAUCCAUCAGAUGCUAGACCAAGCCUGACAUUACAAGGAUCCUGAGCAAACCAUUCAUAGGUUGCAUCCACACGCUUCCAUGCUUUGGAGUUCGCAGGGUGUCGCAUUUUUCCAUCAUCCACCAAUUCUUCAUUAUGCCACCGCAUAUAUGAUGCUCUAGUCUCUGACAUAUAUAUAUCCUUUGGAGUCGUGUAAUCAGCGGGAAGUACCGUAGAAUUUUACGUGGAACAUGCCUCUCUAAGCCACAACCACUGCCACCAUCCUGUUCCUUUUUACACUCCUUUCACCUUGUCUCACCACAUUUAGGGCAAUUAUCUAGGCCCUCAUAUUCUUUCCCUCUGAAUAACACACACUCAUUGUAUCAUGCAUCUGUCUUUUCAUAAUUUAGACCAAGGUCUCUAACAACCUUUUUUAUCUUCUCGAUACUAUCUAGGAGGUAGUGCCCUUUAGGAAGAACAAGCAAGAAUAGCUCAAGCAUAUACUCCAUGCAAGCAUUACUACAACCAAACAUGCACUUCAUCUGAAACAUUUUGACAAUGAAAGACACCUGUGUAGCUUCCGUGCAGCCUGGAAACAACUCCUUCCUAAACUCUUGUAGCAAUUUAAAGAACUUCGUAGCCAUCUCAUUUGGCUGUUCAUCAUCGAUUUCUCCACGGAUAGUACCCCUGAUCAAUGAAUGUAUCAAGUUGUAGGUAGCAGCCCUAUCAUCAACACCAUCAUCCAUAUCAAUAUCUGAACCUUCACAUACACUUUCCUGCUCUCGGAUGAAGCUUUCAUCAAAACCUUUCUGAAGUAGAUGCUUCUGGACAUCCGACUGCUUUCUAAAUGACAUGGAAUGACAUGCUGAACAUGGACAUGGUGCCGUUCCACCUUUCGAGCUGCCAGCAAAGGUGCUAUCAAGAUACUCUGAUAAUCCUUGUUGCCAUUCUCCAGAUGCCCUAUGUAGCCGCAUCCAACUACUGCCAUGGUGUGACAUCAGUUCAAAACCUGACAAACACACAUGAAGAUAAAUAAGAACCAGCUACGGAUUUGAAACAUACGCAAAUUAAAUAGCAAUGUGACUGAUUGUAACAUCCUACUUCUACCAAUUAAUUUGGUCAUGGAAAUAAAAAAUUAGGGCGUCACUUUAUUUCAAUACGCAGCAAGAACUCCAAGCUACUAAUUGCAAACAACUAAUUAAUAUAUACACAAAAAUACAUGAAUUAAAAAUUUAUGACAGUAGCAUUGGACGUACUAGCAUAUGCAUACACAAAACAAAAAAGCGUGUCUUUCAUACAUGAUGCUGAACCAGGUCAGGAAAAGAAGAAUUUCAUGGACAUGUUGACCAGCGGCGUGUUGAACAUGGAUAGAUAAAAAAAGAAAAUACUUAAUGUGUGCGUCUACCUUCUGUCAAUGUCCGACGUCCUUCAGUUAUCAAGUGUCGCGGUUCGUCACCUCGUCGGCAGGCAGGUCCUAUGAAUCUAGUGAUCUGGAGCGGAGUUAGAAUAACAGGUCCUAAACAACUGAGGCCAAGAACAUAGAUUUAGGGGCAACAAUCAUGGGAUUCCGAUGCAUAGACAAACACAAUAAUCAUGGGAUUUAGGGGCCAUAUCUUACCUCCUUCACUCGGUAGGAACACCCAGGCCAUGAACGGGGACUAGGCUUCGCUGGUUCUGCUCGCGACCACGCGGUGCCGAUGCACAGCAGGGGAAGAUGGGAGUUGCGGUAGCACGACAAAAGAUCAAACAAGCCAGUUACGUCGAUCUGACUGGGGAUGUCGGCGGUAGGUUUCACGAGAGCCCUGAUCACGACUAUAUCCACGGACGGGUGUGUCUAGGCCUCCUGAGGCGAUACGAACAUGCACAGAAGGAGAUUAGUAUUAGGUAAAGGAAUUUAGUCAAAAAACGGUUGCAUAAUAGUAUAAAACAAUGAAAAUACAUAUUCAUCCAUUAAUGUACAACUUGCCUAGCGGUUAGGCCAUGAGCUCCUCAACCAAAUAGGCGCCCGGUUCAAGUCCUUGCCCUUUGCAGUUUUUUUGUUUUUUUAAUAGUUAACAAUUUCACAUAAUAUUUUACUUUGAUCUCAAUUUAACUUAUUAUUACAUACUCGCAUGCAUAAGUUUCCCCUACCAGUUUCUUUUCUAGAAUUAACAAUUCUUUUAUUAUUACCUUGUCAAUAUGUUAUUUUACCUAGUCCCUAGGUGACCUUGCAUCAAACACAAAUAUGAUGCAAUAGUACUUUGUUUAAGGCAUCAUGUUUGAAUCCUUCUCUAACCAUGUCAAAUAAUGGUCACAAGUUUAAAUCUGCUAUAGUUUCCAGCACAUCGAUUUCUAGGUCUUGGAUUGCAGUUCAUCACGUUGGCAUUCCGCGUUCUCCAAAUUCUACUCAAUAACUUGGUUGGUUCCCAAAAUAUAAGUUAGAUUAUAUAUUGUGGACAAGAGUAUACAAAAAGAUGGCACAUGUUGAACUUCAUUUUAGCCAUCAAUUUUGAGUUUUGCUAAUCAUUAUCAAGUCAUUGACACUCGUGGGUUGGCAUCAAAUUAUCUGGUAAUCUAUAACUCUAAUGGUUAUGAUCCUUAAACCAAACAUGUAGAGCAGCCAGAGAUUAGCAAGUCUUCUUUAAGGCCCAUGACCUAGUUCGGAGCAGAUGAAGCCCAAAAAUGUGUUACAACCGGCCCACUAUAUCACCUCCCAACUGUUCGAUAGAAUGUCCCAACGAAAGACCCGCGGUCUGUGUGUGGCGACCAUGCAGCAGGGCACUCCCACCAUGGCUGCCACCUCCACCUUGCCUUUUUCCUCUGUCUGUGCCAUAGUCGAGGAGCACCAGAGCAGCCUCCCUGUCCCCCUGCACUCCCCUGCGCUCUCCAUUCUCCCUCUCGCUCAGCUCUCUGCUUCUGUCUUCCAUGGACAGCCAAGCAAGCCGCCAUUCGCUCUUCCAUCCUGCCAUAGCUCGGCCAAAGGCCAAGCACCGUCAGCGUACUAACCACCAUAUCCUCCGCGUAGACGCUGCUCGCAGCCCAUGCAGCGCCCUUCAUCGACAACGCCAUCACCGUCGCAAUCUGUGACACCGGAGGGGCCGCAGCCCCAUCCUGCCGUCUCUGCAAAAUCACUGGCCGGGCUGGAACAUACUGGAGCCGUGCCCAACAGCAUGCAAGCUGCAUCACCCCUCCCUAGUUGCCACCACCGCCGAUUCCGGCCAACACCAACCGGCACUGUUCCACGUCCCGUCGAGCAGAGGAUGAAGAAGAGCCUCGGGUUCAAAUUAGAAGAAAGUCAGGGUUCCAUAUGCGAAUUGAAGACCCAUAUGAAUAGUAUCCUUCGGACCUGUUUGUUUGACUUGAUUUAAGUUUCUUUCAGGGUCCCCGAUGCAAAGUUGUUUUCCUUUAUGCAGUUUUCUGGAUGAACUUUGAUAAUGCAUAGUAAAUUGUAAAAAAAUCCUAAAAUAGCAAAUGAGUACUUUUUGGAAUCCUUAUUAAACUCUCUAUCCAGUAGAUCUAUAACCUUUCAUGUUUUAGUUCGAAGUUUUAGCUGUAAAAAUAGAUUUAUGCAGCUAGGUUUUUAAUGCUAGUUAAGUUUGUCUUUUUCAUAACUACUGCUGUAGAGCUCCAAAUAAAGUGAAAUUUUUGUGGCAUGCUACCCAUGUGAUGUUUAAUAUAAGGUAAAAUGUUCAUAAGUUUUGGUUGCAGUAUGAUUGAGUUAUUAAUUUAACUUGCAUAGGGCUUGAUAAAUGGUUUAUAAUUAUAAAUAAAAAUGUACAAAUGGAAAAUGUUGUUCCAGUACAAUUCUAUGAUAUUGUUGUAUCAUGUUAAUAUAUAAUAUGGUCAUGUGUUUGAAUAAAAUAUGAUUUGUGCAUUUAUCUUGCUCUCACAUGGUUAAUUGCAAUAGCAAUUUGUCUUUUUUAUAGAUGUUGCUAUGUUUAUUCAAAUGCAAUGAAAUUUGGGCAGUAGACUAUGGAUAGAAUGUAGAAGCUACUGUGAUUUUCGUGGAAUUUACUGAGCAAUUUUGGUAUGUGUUGUUUAAUUCACCUUAUUAUUCAAAAAAAUUAAGAAAGGCAUCAAAUAAAUUUAUUUGGUAAUAACCACUAUGUUUUCUGGUGUUCUUUCGAUAUGUGCAAACUGUUGGUAAUAAUGGUUUUGCUCAAAUGCAUGUUUGAAACAUAAGUUAAUAAUUAUAUUUUUGCAAUUGUUGUUUCUGGACAGUUUCUGGAACUGUUUGGAUUACAAUAUGUAAGGAAUAUUGUUUAUAGCAAAGUUAGAGAUAAUUCAUCUCUCUAGCUGCUGUUAAAAUUUGGUGGCAUUUAGUCUAGCGGUUUGUGAGUUAUGUCUCUUCCAAGUUUGAUUCCAGAAAUGGCUGCUCCCUAUUUGUCAGGGACAGAUUCUGGAACUUUAUAAUUUCAACCAGCUUAAGUUGAGAAUCAUGCUUUGAUGUCUAACUAUCAAAUGUAUCUAAUUUCUUAAUCUUUCAGAAUAUCUUAAUUCGUAUCCUUUGGAGUUGUGUAACUCCAGUUAUGAUUUAUUUACUCAGCUGCUGUUAACAUUCUUAAAAAUGCCAGAUUCAUUUUAUUGCUAUUGCUUGGUAGUUUGCUAUGUGUGACUCAUGCCUUUGAUAAUGGCCAAGUUAAUAUACCUGAGCUCUUUCUAAAACAUGUAAGCCAUGUCGAAUAUGGCUAGUGUUGUAUUAUUUGUUAUCUUAGUAUGUUGGUUGUGUAAUCUUUAAUUGAGCAAUGAGAAGUGCUUAAGUAUGUUUAGUGGAACCAUGCUCGUGCCUUGCUUCGUGUGUGUGAUACUUUGUCUAUUGCACUUCUAUGUGUUCAUACACUUGCAUCUUGCAUCUCAUUUAGGUACGCUAGAUGAACCAUGUGAAGGACAUGAUGGUGGACCUAUCUAGAUGAUGGAAGGACUACAUAAGUGUUGUGGCCUUAGAUGUCAUCAAGACAAAGCAAGCUAACUUAACUGAUUUCUGUCGGAUUCUAGGCAAGACCCAGAGCAUUCUAAGUUUCCUACCCUUCCUUUUUAUAAAAGCACAAGAGUAUCACUUUAUAUGAUGCAUUAGGUUAUAGGAGUUGGAUGAAACCAUUGGUGCAUUUUCCUACCUUGUUCACUAUAUAAAACUACCUGAACCCUUACUAGUAGAAGGAAGACGUUCUAUGCUUAGCUAUGCUUAGAUCGGUAGAAGCCAGGUGAUUUCCUAUCACCUACGAGAUAUAGGUGGAUGUUGAUAUUUGGUAACGCAAUUAGAAAAUGAUCCGCAAGCGCACAGAUAUCGGUGAGCAUUUCACCCGGGAGGUUAUCCAGAGUUAUCGUAUUUAUAUUUUAUCACUGGGAGAAAGGGUGCAUCUGACUAACCAAAUCUAUUGCUAGUAUCCCUUUAGGCUACAAAGAAUGUCUCUCGAUGUGAGUGAUGUAUAGAGAAGACUGCAACCGUAGUCUCGUUCUAACCUUGGUAAGGAUGAUCUACUGUUCUAUUGGGGAGGCUCACGGAAUCUAGACAACAGAAAGGAUGUUCAACCCACACCUAUAAACCUACCCGUCCUGCUAACGAGAUGUGAUCUACAAAGGUAACUUGGAAAUGUCACUUUCCUCGCUACUACCACGGUCCAGCUAGUCAGGGGAUAUCUAUGAGUACCCUAGCCUAAACACCACGUUUACGCUAACAAGUGAUUACUCUAAUACUCAACCGGAAGAGGAUUAAAGUAAACUCAUAAACCAAAGAACAAUAAAACAAGAACUUACUAGUAUUAGAAGUCGAAUUACUGAAGAAUCUUAGAAGCAAGCCUCGGGUUAGGAGACUUGAUCCCGUAGGUACAACUCGGAGUAGACACCGACAGGCCGGCCUUCCUCCGAUCCACACCUCCACUCUAUCUCUCUCAAUUUAGUAGAAACUAGAAGAUCUAUUUCUAAUUUACAUUGGUUGCUAAGCCUAAAAAGAAAUAUUAUUUAGAGAAGAGGUUUUCCUUCGAGGGCACCCCUCAAUCUCUAUGAUAAUUUCUUGUCUCCUCCAGGGGCCAGAGGGGGUCUCCUUAUAUAGUCCUCCCCUUCUAUGCGUUUUUAUGUCGAUAGGCGAGGUGGUACUAUGUUAUUCUGGAUCCAAUAGGUCGGUGGAACGUCGUGUGCGAAGAGAGUCCGGAACGGGGUCCAGAGGUGGGCGGGCGCCAAGGUCCUUAGGGCGGGCGCCCUGGGCCUGGCCCCUUUCGGGCUCUGCUUCCUUCCCGUGCCUUCUGGAGUCUUCUAGAUGGUAGAAAAUUGCGCGGUGGGUUGAUAUCUCUAUGUAAUCCCGACAUGUGGGCCUUUCUUCCUUAUUUCCUGAUAACCCCCUGCAGAAAUAGAUAAACACCAAAACUCGUGGAAUUCUGUCACAUAAAACCCUAAGUCUAGAUGUUGAUUUCAUUUGGAUCCUUUUCUUUGUUUAUUUGAUAAUUAAAUUUGAUACUUAAGGACCGUCAACAAACUCCCCCAAGCUUACCUCUUGCUCGUCCCUGAGCAAGGAUGAACUCAAGAGUUUCUGCAGUGGUUUCAUUUCUUAGAAGUACACACGCAUUUAAGCAAGAUCUCAUCUCUGAGUUAGAAUAAACUGUUAAGACUUAAAACUUACUUACUUUACCUACACCAUAGGACUUGUAACCGUCACUUCUGUCUUGAGUGGUUAAAAGAUAGAACAGUCUAGCCAAGUGCCAUGUCUCUUAUUCUUGAUCAGCUAUAGCUCUGGGGUUUUUGCAGAUUUUCAAAUAAAACUCAGAAAUUCCUUGUAUGAUUCUCUCAGGUCUCUCUUUUGUGGUAUUUUUGGAUCCUUACCAAGGCAGUGAUGGUAUAUGCCUUCUCUCAAGAUAUGUAGUAUUUGUGGUAUGAAGCAUAGUGACAUUGUCUUCUCUCUCACCCUACUCUAAUAAGGCUUUAAUAUCUGGAGCUCAUAGGUGGGAGAUAAAGUAUACAUACUUACAAGACAUUUAUUGCAUAGUCAAACCAUGGAUCCAAAGAAACAAAUCAAUAAGCCAAAUCAAGAUGUGCAUGUGUGGCGAAUGAAUGGUGUAUGGUGAUGAUGGUGAUAACAAUGGUGAAAGUCUAAUUCUACUUUUGCUCUUUUGAGGGGAUACAUACCUUUCUUGCACUUUGAAGCUUUUUGAGGAUAAUGAGAUGCUCUAUAUUUUCUUUUUCUUUCCUCUCAGGUGGGUAUCUUGUACCCCUAAUUCUACUGUCGGACACUUGUCCAUUUUUACCUUUCGUCUCACUUUUUUUCUUUUUCUUCGAGGUUCCGGGCACUUGCCCCUUUUUAUUUCCUCGUAUUCAUUUUUUUUCUCUCUCUCUCUUUUUUUUAGAGCACUCAUCUCCUGAAAUAAUGUAGCAAGUGGUAGUAACCAAAAUAACUGGAGCAUUUAUUUCACAGGGAAUAACAGGGAUAGCAAAAUGUUUUUGGCUAUUCUCUCCCGGAUUAGGAGUAGAAUACUUUUGGGUGGUUUUGGAGAUGGAAAUGAAUGGAUAGUACUUCCGGAGUAGAAGUAGCAUGUAUGAGUGAACGUGCAAGUGAAUCUUGAUUUAACCACAUGACAAGCUCCUAAGGGUCUACACAGCUUGACCACACUCAAUGCUCAUAAGCAGUAAAUAGUAAAUGUGUGGCUCAAGGUCUAGCAAGCAUGUAUAUAUGGCUGUGGUAGAAAUUUAAACUCUCAUCAUACAGGAACUCAUCAUGCAACAUUUUAAAGAUUUUCAAAGAUAAAAUUCUCCAGAAUUCUAGCAUCUCUAGGAACAGAUAAACAGCAGCUCAACCUUCCCAUAUCGUAUCUGUUAACAACUUAGACUUCAGAUUAAGUUUUCAUCCCACAAGUUUAGGUCUAGAGCAAGCCUUAAAUUAUAACAGUUAUAUCUAAACUUGAGAGAGAACUUCAAAUUUGCAAAUUAGGCAGAGCAACUAUUCAUCAUAUCCAUGCUUAAGUUUUAUUAGAUACAGAUUAGCAUAGCCACUUUAUUUAUUUAUUAAACACACUAAGCAAAAUAUAUAUAAGCAUAAAAUCUUUAUUUGGUUUUUCAUAGUUAUGUGUAUUUAUAUUCUAAUAUAGUAUAAGUAUAAAGAUAGAUAGAAAUACUUAUCGAGAUAAAUGGGGGUGCUCUCCCCCAAGCUGAAUUUUGACGUAAUUUCUCUUGAUGUAGCUAGCAGGUGGCAGAGGUGUGUUUGAAAGUCAGCAGUAUUUUGACAGUGAUUAGAAUGUCCUCCGUCUGCUAGUCUUCUUGAUUCUUAAAUUCUGUGGAGCUUAAAUAGACAACAAAGCUUGUGGAACUGAUUAAGUGUUAUCAUAAAUAUCUAGCCUUUAUCAUGUUGAGACUUCUUAAUAAAUAUUACUCCCUGUUUUUAUAUUUUUGUUUUUAUAAAGCAGAAAAAUAUUUAUUUUAUUUUUAUGCCACCACAGUGAAUGUACUUAUGGGUUUUAUGCCACUCGUCUACUCACAUGGGGCUUACAGUUUUUUUCACAUUUUUAUUUUCUUUCUAGGAUAAUACGAACAUGAUUAACUAAGUAAACUAUUUGAAAUAAUUAAAAGGGAAAGGAUAACUACCAAGUUUACCUCUUGGCAAGGCGUUCGGUGUUUUUAAGUCCUCCGAACGGGACUCUCCGUUUUCUCAGUCGUCCUAGGAUUCGCUGGAUGACGUAGUCGGUGAUUCCGGUGGCGCCUCCUUUUCGUGUAUAACUAUCUUCUCUUUCUGACUCGGUGCUACGGUCUCCUCAGGACAUUUCUAUUCAAGCUGUAUGUCUUCAGACCUUAUCAUUUCUCCUCCGUAGUCUACCCAUCCGUCCUUGAUGAUUUGCCUCCUCUGGUUGCGGUUGCGUUGUCUUCUUCUUGUCCUGACCUGCUUAGAAUCUUCAACUAUAUAAUCAUUAAAGUAGUGGCGUACCUUUCUCAGAGGGGAAGUGCAUGUGGACUUCUCCGGUUCCAAUAUAGAUAAUGGCUUUGAUAGUGUUUAGGAACGGUCUUCCAAGGAUGGUGGAUGGAUCAUACUUGUCUUCUCCCAUGUCAAUGACCUGAAAGUUGUUUGAAGCUGAAUGUAUCUUGGUUGUAGGGGCAUGGUUCUAUGCAGGAGCUGAUAAGUGACUGCGGCCAUUAUGUUGUCGUCAGAUCCGGUGUCGUAGAGUGUCUUCUAAAAAGAGUAUCCAUUGUUUGUGCAUUCGAUUCUUGGAACACCAGGGUCGUUCUUCUUAAUCAAGAAAGGUGACUUGAGUCGACGAUCUUGACCUCCUUGAGCUGCAGUGACCAUCUUAGCUGACUCGGUCCACAUUUGCUUGUUCCUUUUCCUCCUGUUGGUCCUCUUCCUUGGUUCAUGUCAGGAUUGCUCUAAAGCUUGUGUAGUUUUGUUCUUGAAGGAAACUCUCCUUCUUCCCCUUGAUGUAGAGACUGAUCUUGGCAGCAUUAACGUAGAUGACUGCUCUGGUGUUUAGGAAUGGCCUCCCUAAGAUGAUGGGUGCUCUCUCCUCACUACCAGUCUCUAUCACCACGAAGUUUGCUGGAGUGUACAAGGUACCAACUCGGACACAGAGGUUCUUCAAUAUUCCUUUGGGAAACUAAGUGUCUGAUCUCCAUUGUGUUUGUGCUCGUAGGAAUCUGGGAGUUGUAAAACGCCUUCACGUUUCUCAAAAUGUGUCCUGCUCAUAGAGACAAGGCAGAGAUCAAGUGCAUGGGCCCUGUUGGUGGAAAACACCAACAGAACCAAAAGUGUAUUUGUUCUUCUCUAACCUUAAGCAUAGUGAGCAAGACAAAGUUGAUGGAUCAUGAGUGUAGCAUUUAAAACAUUUGUUAGAUCAGAUGGCUCAACCUAAUGGAAAGAUAAUCUAUCUAUAUUUAUGUUUUGUUUAUAUCUUCCAAAGAUUCAAUGUGCAAUACUUUAGCUUAUAUGAUUAGGAGUGUGGGAUCACGAAGGUAGUACUAAGAACAAAGAUUAAAGGACUAAACAUGUUGAAUUAAUUGGGUUGAUUAAUUUGGAGCUACAAAUCAUACAUGUUUGUCUCUUUAUUUUAUGUGAACGCUAGAACCAAGGAGAAGCUUAUAAAAGUGAUAGUCAAGUACCUUAAAAUGUUACCUUACUUGAAGAGUGACGGUACAGUAUCACCUUGUGGAAGCUUUCCUUUCUUAGCGGUUGUGCAUCAUGUUUGUGGCACCCUCCAUAGAUCAUCUCUUUAUGAUGAAUGAGCUAUGUCCUUCUUGUGCAAAUUGUUAAACUUCAUGUGUCUCCUUUAUCUCCAAUGAGUUUGUAUCUCAGGACUUCCCAGGUUGAUAUUGAAAGUUUUCCUGCAAGGGUUAGUCCAACAAAAUAUCCCAUAUCUACUAUAGCAUACUAUCGGCUCAAAAAUCAACCUAGACACCAUGUCUAAUUUGAUUUAGGAGGGCAUUUUAACCUAAGCACCAUGCUUAAUUUAAAAAUCCUUUGGAAGUAAAAUCAUCAUUCCUAAACUAAGCACCAUGCUUGAUUUAAGAGAUAAAUGAAACUACUCCAAACCUAGACAUAUACUAAAGCAAAAAAAGGUAGCAUGAGAGCACUUAUAGAGAUCUACUCAAGUGGAGGUGAAGUAGUGUAAUUAGUAUUUAACAAAUUGAGCAUGUCUCAAAGGUAAAGACAACCAACAUAGCAACAUGGCAAAUGAUGUUUUUAUGUAAAGUACUCCCCCAAGCUUGAAUUUUGCAAAAUUCAAGAUUGGAUGAAUUUAAUUCAAUGUUGCAUGAUGAUUGGUUGGACAUACCUUGUGCUUGUCAUUCAUCCGAUCUUCUUGCUCCAAUCCUGGAAAGGUUAGUGACAAGAAUACCCGAAGGAAUAUUUCUACAAUUAUCUCAAUAUGCUCAAUACACAAGGCAAUGUUGCAAAUAAUUAGAAGUUCAUGUUACGAUAUGAUAAGUGCUUGUUUAAGGACGCUAAGCUUAUCCUUGGGAAACCAUCAAGUUAUGUUGGUGAAGUGGUUUCCCCUCCAACACUAACCUAUAUCAAGAUCAACUCAACGAGAUCUGCAAUAUUUAUUAUAGACAUAUGCAUCGACAACCGCUCUUUUAAAGUUGUUAUAAAUAGAAAGGAAGAGAGGGUUGGAGAUCUCAAAUGUGGUAAGGAUGGAGAGACCAAUUGAUUGGGGAGAUGUUUUAUAUGAGCAAGGACUUCGUAAGGUAUUUAUGAAAUAACUUCCAUGCUCACUGUUGUUUCUCUCAUUCUCAAACUCCAAGGAUGAUUCUUCAUGAAUACUUAAAAUUCCUCUAGGAUUGUCUCUCAAGUUUGUUUUAUCUAUCCAUUCAAUGGUGAUAGCACAUGGAUUUUUAAUGCCCUCUAGCCAUUGAUGUUGCUCUUCUCGAUCCUCCUUCUUAUGCAUGGGAUGUCUAGAGAGAUUGAUAUGAUUAUCGGGAGGUUUAAGAGAAAGAGCAUAGUAGAAUUUAUUAAGCUCAAGGAAGGUGUGGAUAGCCGAAUUAUGGGUUUGAAAUGUUUGGAAAUCGGCUAUUGAAACUUCCUUUCCUCGUCUGGGAGAUGAUUCCUUCUCUAUCUCUAAGAUUUUUCUAUGAAGACUAGUACAAGAAGGAUGCCCACGAAUGAAGACAUACCUUCCUUUACUAAUAGAUAAAGAAAGAAGGACUCUACCAAAGGUUAUAUGAUUAAGACCAAUGUGAAAAUAUCGAGAAAAAACAUGGUCUUGUAGGGCUAGGUCUAAACCAGAAUUUAUAGAAAGAUUAAAAGAUUCCCUAGGUGUAGCUAAAAGUGCAUUAUCUUCUUGAUUAAAAGAUAGGACCUCGGCUAUAGAAAAGGGUUGGUUUUGACCUAUUGCAAUCAACUCCGGACACAGAUCAUAAUUAUGGGCAGGACGUGUUGACUCCCAUGGUCUAUGGCUGGUCUCCGAAGGUGCAAAGAAUUUAAUAAUAGGUAUGGAAUUUGAGUUAUCCAUAAAGAUAAAAAUAAAAAGAUAAAAGAAUAAAAGUAUAAAAGUAUAAUACAAGAUAAUAGCAAAACUCAAAGUUAUCUCAGCAAACCGUCUUUCUCCCCGGCAACGGCGCCAGAAAUGCUUGUUGAUAUUUGGUAACGCAAUUAGAAAAUGAUCCGCAAGUGCACGGAUAUCCGUGAGCAUUUCACCCGGGAGGUUAUCCAGAGUUAUCGUAUUUAUAUUUUUACCACUGGGAGAAAGGGUGCAUCUGACUAACCAAAUCUAUUGCUACUAUCCCUUUAGGCUACAAAGAAUGUCUCUCGAUGUGAGUGAUGUAUAGAGAAGACUGCAACCGUAGUCUCGUUCUAACCUUGGUAAGGAUGAUCUACUGUUCUAUUGGGGAGGCUCACGGAAUCUAGACAACACAAAGGAUGUUCAACCCGCACCUAUAAACCUACCCGUCCUGCUAACGAGAUGUGAUCUACAAAGGUAACUCGGAAAUGUCACGUUCCUCGCUACUACCACAGUCCAGCUAGUCAGGGGAUAUCUAUGAGUACCCUAGCCUAAACACCACGUUUACGCUAACAAGUGAUUACUCUAGUACUCAACCGGAAGAGGAUUAAAGUAAACUCAUAAACCAAAGAACAAUAAAAAAAGAACUUACUAGUAUUAGAAGUCGAAUUACUGAAGAAUCUUAGAAGCAAGCCUCGUGUUAGGAGACUUGAUCCCGUAGGUACAACUCGGAGUAGACACCGACAGGCCGGCCUUCCUCCGAUCCACACCUCCACUCUAUCUCUCUCAAUCUAGUAGAAACUAGAAGAUCUAUUUCUACUUUACAUUGGUUGCUAAGCCUAAAAAGAAAUAUUAUUUAGAGAAGAGGUUUUCCUUCGAGGGCACCCCUCAAUCUCUAUGAUAAUUUCUUGUCUCCUCCAGGGGCCAGAGGGGGUCUCCUUAUAUAGUCCUCCCCUUCUAUGCGUUUUUGGGUCGAUAGGCGAGGUGGUACUAUGUUAUUCUGGAUCCAAUAGGUCGGUGGAACGUCGUGUGCGAAGAGAGUCCGGAACGGGGUCCAAAGGUGGGCGGGCGCCCAGGUCCUUAGGGCGGGCGCCCUGGGCCUGGCCCCUUUCGAGCUCCGCUUCCUUCCCGUGGCUUCUGGAGUCUUCUAGAUGGUAGAAAAUUGCGCGGUGGGUUGAUAUCUCUAUGUAAUCCUGACAUGUGGGCCUUUCUUCCUUAUUUCCUGAUAACCCCCUGCAGAAAUAGACAAACACCAAAACUCGUGGAAUUCUGUCAGAUAAAACCCUAAGUCUAGAUGUUGAUUUCAUUUGGAUCCUUUUCUUUGUUUAUUUGAUAAUUAAAUUUGAUACUUAAGGACCGUCAACAGUGGAUACCUAAUCACGGUUGGCUAUAUUUGCUAUCGUGGAAAUAACCAUAUGUUAAGAAUGAAUGAAGACCGGGCGGGAUGACGAUAGUGAAACAACAAGGCAUGGAGGUCUUGGGUGUGAAUCUAUCCCCGUCUGUGUCGUUUAAGGACCGAUACACUGUACGUCCUCUUGUCAUGUUGAACGCAUGCCUGACACUUAGUUGGCCGGAUAAUUCAUUCCGACUGUGAAGCCUAUGUGUCAACUCAGGCUAGAUACCCUAUUCUGUUUGAGUGCGCACCCCAGUUGGUAGUAAGGAUGUGCGGAGAGUCAAUGGUGUAAGACCACAGUGUCAGGUUAGAGUCCUGACCCUGACAGAUUGUCAUCCUAAGGGGUGCGGCACUGAUCAGACCCGUGACUUAGUCCUGAGUUGUGCUAAAGGUGACCUAAAGCUGCCUUCACGAGGUAUGCUUGGGUGAGUGCUAGGAAUAUCCCUCCAGUUGGAUAGGAAUCGAUUCGAAUCGCCAUCUCUCCCAGAUAGUGAGAACCUGACUUGAGUAGCGGCAAUGUAGAUACACUAAAUGAAACAUAAUGGUUAUGAUGAUUAUGAUGGCUACAUGAUAAACCAGAUAUGGUUAUUAAUGUGAUGCUUAUUAAUCAAGUGAUUGCUAUAGAAUAGGUGCAAAAUCUAGCUAUGGUAGUUUAACUGAACUUGAUGCUAAAAUACUGACUAAAAGAUUGAAAGUAAGGACUCAUGAUAGUAAUGCUCCUUUUGGCAAAGUUAUGCUAUCCAACCAACUCCACCAAAUAAGCCUUGCAUAUCCUUGAGAGUCUUUUAUUUCUCUCAUGUUGGGUAUGUCUAGCUGAGUACAUUUGAGUACUCAGGUUUUAUCCCACCAUGUUGCAGGUGAUGUUUUCAGUCUGCUAAAGAUGGUCGCUAACCGCCGGUGGGCUCGGUGAAUCUAUAUAGUGUUCUCAUCUACAUGGUUUGGUCAUUGGAUGUCACUUAUGCUAGCAAUGUAUUUGAAACUUAUGUUAUUGCAAUCAUUUGAAAGCUAUGUUGUUUUCUAAUCGAUUUGGAAAUCCAAACUUGUAUUAUUAUUUGUGAACUCUUUUGUAAUAUUAUUUCCGCUACAAAUCUCCGUGUAUUUGUUGUGUAUUUGUUUAAUCAUGCGAUCUUGGUGUAACAUUGAUUUAACGAGGUCCUUCGUGACACUCGGCAGACUACCGAGUUUAUAUAAGUGAGAAUAUGUGCGUGUCAACGUGUUAAACGGGGACAGACGUACUUAAAUUUGUAUAAAUUGGGUGAUUCUGUCAUGAUGGGUAUACCCCAAGGUAGACUGCCGACUAGCUUUCGUCGACACGAAGCGAUUCACCGCCGCCUUUCUCCAUUUACAUCUUAAGACCUUCCUUAUUAAUAAAAAGUAAAUCUUUUGAUUUUCUUCCCAUCCUUCAUCAUUUUACUUCCAAAAAUACUUUUCCAUAUCCCUAUAUAAGCAACCCAUGCCCAUGGUCUCAUCUCAUCCCAUCAUAGCUCUUCUCUACCCUUGCUUAAGAGCUAGCAACGCAUUUUUACUCAGCAAUGGCUAAGAAGAAUUUAGGGAGGAGAAUGAUCCCCUUUGGGAUUGACCUCAACACCAUCCCUAGAGAGGAGCCUAAGAGCAAAUCUAUCAUUCACACAGAGGAGCCUGUCCCGCUAGCCAUCGUACCACCACAACCACACUGCUAUGGAUAAUCUUAUUUUGCUUAGCCCAUUUGCACCAAGCCUCUCCUCUUUGAAGGAGCUCCACCGAAGGGCCCCAUUGUUGCUCUAGCGGCAGGGACCAACCUCCUGCCACCGAAGCGCAACGAGAAGCUGUUGGGAGCGAAGACCAACAAGAAGGGGGAGGUCAUCUGCGCCAAAUACACCACUGGUGAAUGUACCUAUUUUGAGGGGGAUCGCUCUCAUCCGUCGAAGGUCAAAUUCAUCCCCCCAAAGGAAGCUCCAUAGUCCGCCAUGGCCACAGCAGAGACUCCACGGAAGCGUUGCAAGAUGAUGGUAGACCUAGAGAAGGAGCUAGCUGAGCAGCGCACCAUAAUAGCCUCUCUAGAAGCCUAUCAACGUGUCCAAAGUAGAUGCAUGGUGAUACUAGAAUGGUAAGGCUAGAGCAUGAUUCCACCGCUAUUCAGGAGAAAGUGAAGGCUUUAGAAAACCCUAAGAAGUAGGGUCUAUUUAUGUUAGCAUCCGAUACGGUGAGUGUUUAGGCCUUGUUUAGUUCCGAAAAGAUUUCGGAUUUCGGUACUGUAGCACUUUCGUUUGUUUGUGACAAAUAUUAUCCAAUUAUGGACUAACUAGGAUCAAAAGAUUCGUCUCGCGAUUUCCAGCUAAACUGUGUAAUUAGUUUUUGCUUUCGUCUAUAUUUAAUGCUUCAUGCAUGUGCCGCAAGAUUCGAUGUUAUGGGGAAUCUUGAAAACUUUUUGCUUUUUGGGGUGAACUAAACAAGGCCUUAGUUUCAUUCUUAGUGUGUUUAUUUUUCAAAGUUUGCUACUGUAAUAAUAAGCCCUGCAUGAAGAUGAACUAAAUAAAUAUUAUUAUAUAUCUUGUCUCUCUAUAGUCACCCUUUUGUGUCCACCAUGUUGUGAAUGAUGGAUAACAGGAAACUAGUGUGGGGGAGACACCCGAUGAUCAAAACGAACAAAUUCUUGUGAAAAGUUAACAAAAUUGGAGAAGACAUGACACAAAGACCAUGCUUGAUGAAACUGACCCCGAAGGGCAACUAGCCAGCGGCGGACGCCCCUAUCAUUCUUGGGUGCCUGGCCAGGGGAGAAGCCCCCUGGUCUCUGCUUCGAACAAAGGUCAGGUAUGAUUUCUCUAAGUUAUAAAUUGUUAUUAUUGCUACUGUUUCAAUUCAGAAUAAAAUAUCUUUAGUUAAAUCACCCUAUGCAUGAAUAAUUAUAAGAUGUUUUAUUCAUGACCACAAGAUAGACUUACACCAUGAUAAUUCCUAGAAAAUCCUGUUGCUAUUAGGAACUUUAAUAGGGACCCCAUAUUACUUAAGUUGUUGUGGAAAGAGAGAUAGUAUGAAUAUGAGAACUUGAUUUGUGAUGCCUAGCCAUUUGGAGAAUUUUACUUUUCAAAAAUCUUAAAUUGAUUAGCUAUACUUCUCCUCUAUAGCAAGAAUUAAUGUCGUACUAGAGCCAUGCAUGAUAGAUAUAAACUAGCUCAUAGGCUACUUGCUUUGUAUUGACUUUUGUCAAACCUUAUUGACCAAUGUCAAGAGGAUUAUCAUGCUCUUAAGAUCAAGAUCACAUACACCCACAUAUAUCUGCCAUUCCUACACUGGGAAUGUGCACAAACAUGCCUUUCCAUCCAUUAAAAAUGUUUUACUCCUACACUAGGAGGAAACACAAGAAGAGUCUUAGUAGGAAUAAUUGCUCUAAGUUCUUUAAAAAGUAUUUCUCAAUAUUUUAUGGUUACAGAAGGAGGUAUGUGGCUAUGCAAAAUAAAAGUAUUGAAAAAAGAGAGAAAGAUAAAAAGGAUAGGUGUCCUAGAAAGAAAGAAGAAUAAAAGAUAGCCCAUACCAUCGUGUACAAAGACCAUUAGUGCUUUACAGAAAGAAAGACAUUUUUGAAAAGAGCAAUGUAGAAUUAGGAUUAGCCACUAUAUAUUCCACACACAUGCACUUCUUGAUCUAAGAGUAUGCUAUUCCCCUCUAUGGAUCUGAGUUUUGACUUAGCAAGAUAUGUAAGGUAAUUAUGCUAUUUCCUUGAAUUACCUUUAACUCCAUAUAAGCCUAUAUAGAGUAGGAUAUAUAUGAUACAUGCUUUGGAGAGUUCCACAAAUACCACCUAUAAUGAGUGAUUCGAGUGUGCUACAUGAUGGAGAAUGGUAAGCUAAGUUUUUCUUUGCAAAAUAUUAUAAAACUCCAAGUGACAGAGCUAAAGGAAAAGAGAACUCUAUUUUGUACUGUUCCAUCCUCAACCUCCCAAAGUUUUAGGGUAGACACUUUGAAUCCCGCAGUACAUGCAUGACUUGGAAUAAAUCUUGUAAUCUCUUGGUUUGAGGUUAUGAUUAAAAUAAUGUAUCCAUCCUUUUUCCUCGAGGAUGAGUAAAAGAUAAGUGUGGGGGUGUUUCUCGGUAGAUAACUCCAAAUUGUAACCGUGAACUUAACAUGAAAAAUGACCUAUUUGCAAGCACUCAGUAGAAAUAGGGUUAUCACUAACAGAAUUCCAUGAGUUUUUGUGAUUGUCUAUUUCUAUAGGGGGGUACCAGAAUAAUAAAAGAAGGUCCACAUGUCAAGUUUACAUAGAGAGAAGACCGUAAUGUCAACUCAAGAAGACUCUAGAAGACUCCAGGAGCCACCACCUGAAAGGUGGGACCACCUACCAUAGGGCAGGGUCGGGCGCCCCACCCUGUCAGGGGUGGUCGCCCGAGGCUCUCCACCAAUUAGAGCAAACCUCACGGAUCCUGCCUCCACCGGCUUUUAGGAGUAAUCUUAAGCGCAUGUUUAAGUCCGUUUGAUUCAAGGGCUGUGGUGAUUCCUAGGGGACUGUUAAUAAAGACCCUACCCCCCCUUGAGAUGUAUUUCUAAAAUCCUAAUUCAUAUUUUCCACAGAGAGUAAGAUAGAGAGGGGUCCCUCGAAUGGAUCUAUCUCUUUAGGGUGAUAGCAACAAGAGAGAUUGAGAGAGUAUAGGGUGAGGAUAGGAGUUGAAGAAGCCCGGCCUGUUGGUGCCUUCUUCUUCGUAUCUUCGAAGUGAAGUCCCCUAACCCGAGGCUUGGUUCUAGAGUUGUUCGGCAAUUCAACUUCUGAUACUAGUAAGUUAUUGUUCUUAUUGUUCUUUGGUUUACGAGUUUACUUUAUUCUCUUCGCGUAGGGAAUAGAGUAAUUAUUCUUAGUCUAAGCAUGGUGCUUGGGCUAGGAAUACUCGUAGAUACUCCAUGCUUGGUUACACCUUUUAGAACGAUAUCUACACACUUACCAUUGGUUAGAAGAAGACUGAAGAAAGGGUUCUCUCUAUAUUGCUUAUAUCUCACUAUCUUGUCUUGCAACCCAUGGGUACUAGGUAGGAUAAAAGGUUAGUCUUUUCCACAUUUUCUCCUAGUGGUAAAAAAAUAAAUACGAUACUCUAGACUUAUCUCCCAGCUAAAGUGCUCACCGAUAUUUGUGCGCUUGCGGAUUAUUUCUCUUUGAUUCUUUCAUGUGCGUAACUAAUAUGGACAUCACCUCAACAUACUCCGCCUCGACCCGUCCCAGCACCAACAUGUGUACAGAACAACUGGGGAUCCUCUUGUGCACCAUAAUGGAGUUGGAGACGACUUUGCCGACCUCCGAGGACUCAAGCUUCUCAUGAGUACUUGGGCCUUGAGCACUCAGCCCAAGAUGAUACACACUCAACAUGUUCAGGCAGUAGUUGGCAGAGGAGCAGCGGGGGCAGUUCCCAAACUUCUACACCACCACUGAUCCUAAUCCUAACUUCGACUUCGAUGGCUACGACCCUACACGGGAGUGCUUCAACAUUCAAGACGGAGCCGUUGCCACCGACGAUGACACCACUGAUGGCAAUGACGUCGCUAGUGCUCCAGUGGCAGGAGGCGAACUCGAGACUCCAGAAUAGGGAGGGCAAGUAGGCCAUGUCGACCCACGUCUCGCCCAAGGCGAUCAGGCCAUGCAACUCAUGCAACUUUGAGAGGUGAGGGCCAAGCUUGAUAAGGAACGGGAAAGGCUGGGCCAGCUUAUGCAAGCUAUUGAGCAAGAUCACGUGCCCCCAUGCGGUGGUGGAGCUCGAGGCAGGGCUCGAAACAUUUUUCUACAAAUUGUUGAAGAUAGAGAACCAGAGCGCCUCAUCAACCAUUUCCCUUGAGCUGGCCAAAACAUCGUCGCCGCAACAAUGCUCCUCCGCAACAUGCCCGAGCCUUCGAAUACCCAAGGAUGCCACAUAUGGGAGGAGCUGCAAGGCUUGCUCCAAGUUGUGGCUACACAACAGGAUGAAAGCUUAGCCUCGAUACAUCAAGGAGCAGCCUUAGAAUGGCAUGUCCAGCUAGCUCAUCAUGAAAGGGAAGCUUCCAUCCACUAUGAAGCGCCUCCUCGCGGCAAGAAAGCCGCCCCAGCUCGAGAGCACGUCAUUGAUAACCGCGACCCACAUGAUGCAUGCCAUGACAUCAACAAACACCGACGGUGUAAGUGCAUGGAGGCCAAGGAGUGAGGCUAUAGCACACACCAUGGUAGGCGUUACGACAGUGACGAGGACCGGAGGGCUCCCGAGCCACCAAGGCCUGGAGUCUUCAGCAAAGCGAUCCACAGCACGCCUCUACUCAAUCCUUUUCGUCCUCCCAUGAGUAUCUCCAAGUACAAUGGUGAAACCAAGCCCGAGCUCUGGCUAGCCAACUUUCGGCUCGCAUGCUAGUUGGAUGGAGCUCAAGGAGAUGACUGCGCCAUCAUUUCACAACUACCUCUAUUCCUCUCCAACACUGCUCGUAGGUGGCUCGAGGAGCUUCCCCCCAAUUAGAUCUACAACUGGGCCAACCUAGCCCACAUUUUCAAGGGGAACUUCAAGGGAACCUAUGUCCAUCUAGGCAACUCAUGGGACCUCAUCAAGUGCAAGCAAAGGUCUGAGGAAUCCCUCCGCGACUACGCUCGACGCUUCUCCAAGCAACGUACCGAGCUCCGGCACAUCCUUGACCACUACAUCAUCCUAGAAUUUGUAUCAGGCACCACCUGUAAGGACUUGGUGUGGGAGUUAUGGCGUAACCGCCCAAAAACAUUCGAUGAGUUAAUGGACAUGAUGGCCAACUACGAGGUAGGAGAAGAGGCAGUUGGAGCAUUCUUCAGUGAUGGAAAGGACAAGGGGAAAGCAUAAGCGGAUGAUGUCGAGAGCUAGAGCAAAUGUCUCAGGAAGUACAACAAGAAGAAGAAAAAGGUGUGGCAAGGCAAGUGUGAAGCCAUGGACGAUGACUUUGUCACCACAGUUGAAUGCAAGAAGCCUCGAGGACCCCCUAAGGGGGCCAUCUUCGACAAGAUACUAAAAGAGCCUUGCCCUUACCACAAGGGAGGAGCCAACCACAAGCUCGAGGAUUGCCGCAUGUUGAAGAAGUACUUUGAUAUCUUGGGCAUCAAGAAGGACGACUAGAGGAAAGACAAAGGCCACAACAAAGGCAACAGCGAAGAUGACGACAAGUUCCCCGAGGUGCAUGACUGCUACAUGAUCUAUGGCGGCCCCUCCAGAUAGGUCAUAACUCAACAACACAAGAGGGAGUGUUAAAAGGUCUUUGUUGUUCGGAUGGUGGUACCUCAGUACCUCAACUGGCCUGACACCCCAUCACAUUUGACCAUGAUGACCACCUUGAUCCUGUCCUUAGCCCUAGAGUCUACCUGCUCAUUGUUGACCCUAUCAUCGUCAACGCUCACCUCUCGAAGGUACUAAUGGAUGGCGGUAACAGCCUCAACAUUAUCUACCUCGAGACUCUCGACCUUUUAGGGAUCGAGAGAUCGCAACUCAAGCCAAGCACAGGGGCUUCCACGGGGUGGUACCGAGCAAGAAGGCCCUCCCAGUAGGUCAGAUCGACCUCUCGGUCUGUUUCGGCACCACUUCCAAUUUCAGGAAGGAUAUCCUGAAUUUCAAGGUGGUCAGCUUCUGUGGCACUUACCAUGCCAUCAUUCGGCGCCCGGGGUAAGCUGAGUUCAUGACGGUCCCCAACUACACCUACCUCAAGCUCAAGAUGGCAGGACCAAAGGGGAUCAUCACCAUCAGCUCCUCCUAUGAGCAUGCAUACGAAUGCGACGUUGAGUGCAUCAAACAUGGAGAAGUAGUCGAGAGUUUAACACACCUAGCCUUGAUGCUUGAGGCUCUCACCACCGAGGCUCUAGAGCCCAAGCGACACGCAUGGAAUUUUGAGCCAACGGAAGACACAUAGAAGACUGCCCUCGACCCCAACAACUCCGACGACAAGGUGAUAAUGAUUAGCGCCACCCUCGAUGCCAAAUAGGAAGUUGUGCUCGUUGACUUUCUCCGUGCGAAUGUCGACACGUUUGUGUGGAGUCCAUUAGAUAUGCCUCACAUGGCAAGGGAUGUCGCUGGGCAUGCCUUAUAGAUCCAGGCUGGGUCUAAGCCGGUGAAACAAUGUGUGCGCCGCUUUGACAAGGAGAAGCAUAGGAUCAUCGAUGAGGUAGUUCACAAGCUUUUCGUGGUCGGAUUCAUCAAGGAGGUUCAUCAUCCCGAUUGGUUAGCUAAUCCUAUACUAGUCAAGAAAAAGAAUGGAAAAAUGUAGAUGUGUGUUGAUUACACUAGUUUGAAUAAAGCAUGUCCUAAAGUUCCAUUUCCUUUAUCACAAUUAAUCAAAUUGUUGAUUCUACUGUGGGGUAUCAAACGCUUUGCUUUCUUGAUGCUUAUUCCGAUUAUCACCACAUAAAAAUGAUGGGGUUUGACCAGCUUGUGUCCUCUUUCAUUACCCCUUUUGGCAUGUACUGCUAUGUCACCAUGCCCUUCAGCCUUUGAACAUCAGGGUGACAUAUCAGUGAUGCAUGCUCCACAUUUUUGGUAGAAACAUAGGGUCAACGGUUGAGGCAUACAUCAACAAUAUUGUAGUAAAGACAAAAAAUAUAGGGAACGUCAUUGAAGCCCUCAAGAUCGCAUUUGGUUGCCUUCGAGCUAAUAACAUCAUGCUUAACCCUAAGAAAUGUGUCUUUGGCAUGCCUCGAGGCAUGCUCUUAGGAUACAUCAUCUCCUAGCGCAGUAUCGAGGCCAACCCCGAGAAAGUCUCGGCCAUUACAAAAAUAGGGCCGAUUUGAGACGUCAAGGGCGUACAGAAAGUCACGAGCUGCCUAGCAGCUCUCAGCUGCUUCAUCUCAUGGUUGGGGAACAAAGCUUUGCCACUAUACCAUCUCCUCAAGAAGAUCGAGUGCUUCGCAUGGACUUCCAACACUGAAGAAGCCCUUAACAGGCUCAAAGGUAUGCUGACCUCCCCUCUGGUUCUUGUACCGCCUCAACCUACAAAACCUCUUCUCCUCUACAUUGUGGUGGCCACUCAGGUGGUCAGCGCGGCUAUAGUGGUCGAGAGACAAGAAGAGGGGCACACACCACCAGUGCAACGACCAGUCUACUUUGUCAGUGAGGUACAUUCAGAGACCAAGAUAUGCUAUCCGCAGAUACAAAAGCUCAUCUACACGAUCAUUGUUGAUAUUUGGUAACGCAAUCAGAAAAUGAUCCGCAAGCGCACGGAUAUCGGUGAGCAUUUCACCCGGGAGGUUAUCCAGAGUUAUCGUAUUUAUAUUUUUACCACUGGGAGAAAGGGUGCAUCUGACUAACCAAAUCUAUUGCUACUAUCCCUCUCGGCUACAAAGAAUAUUUCUCGAUGUGAGUGAUGUAUAGAGAAGAUUGCAACCGUAGUCUCGUUCUAACCUUGGUAAGGAUGAUCUAGUGUUCUAUUGGGGAAGCUUACGGAAUCUAGACACCACAAAGGAUGUUUGACCCGCACCUAUAAACCUACCCGUCCUGCUAACAAGAUAUGUGAUGCAAAGGUAACUCAGAAAUGACACGUUCCUCGCUACUACCACGGUCCAGCUAGUCAGGGGAUAUCUAUGAGUACCCUAGCCUAAACACCACGUUUACGCUAGCAAUGAUUACUCUAAUACUCAACCGGAAGAGAUUAAAGUAAACUCAUAAACCAAAGAACAAUAAAACAAGAACAUACUAGAAUUAGAAGUCGAAUUACUGAAGAAUCCUAGGAGCAAGCCUCGGGUUAGAAGACUUGAUCCUGCAGGUACAACCUCGGAGUAGACACCGACAGGCCGGGCUUCCUCCGAUCUACACCUCCACUCUAUCUCUCUCAAUCUAGUAGAAACUAGAAGAUCUAAUUCUACUCACAUUGGAUGCUAAGCCUAAAAGAAAUUUUAUUAGAGGAUAGGUAUUCCUUCGAGGGCUCCUCUCAACUCUAUGAUGAACUUGUCUCCUCCAGGGGCCAGGGGGUCUGGUUUUAUAGUCCCCUCAAAUGAAUGUGAGCCAUUGGAUCAAACCGACAUUGAUUGGACGGUUAUCCUUGAUCCUUUAGGUCGGUGGAGAUUAGUCCCGAAAGAGAGUCCUGAUCCAACUCUGUGGGCGGGCGCCCAGGUCAACUGGGCGGGCGCCCAGUGCCUGGCCCCGUUCGGCCUCUGCUUCCUUCCCGUGGCUUCUAUAGUCUUCUAGAUGUAAGAUAAUUGCGCAACACGUUGAUAUCUCUAUGUAAUCCUGACGUGUGGGCCUUUCUUCCGUAUUUCCUGAUAACUCCCUGCAGAAAUAGACAAACACCAAAACUCGUGGAAUUCUGUCAGAUAAAAACCUAAGUCUGGGUGUUGGUUGCAUUUGGAUCCUUUUCUUUAUUUAUUUGAUGAUUAUAUUUGGUACUUAAGGACUGUCAACAACUCCCCCAAGCUUACCUCUUGCUCGUCCCUGAGCAAGGAUGAACUCAAGAGUUUCAGCAGUGGUUUCAUGCCUUAAAAGUAAGAUCUCAUCUCUGAGUUAGGGUAAACUGUUAAGACUUAAAACUUACUCAUUUUACCUAUCACCAUGGGGCUUGUAACCGUCACCUGUGUCUUGAGCAGUUAAAAGAUAGAACGGUCAAGUCAAGCGCCAUGUCUCUUAUUCUUGAUCAGCUAUAGCUCUGGAGUUUUUUUGCAGAUUUUCAAAUAAAACUCAGAGAUUCUUUGUAUGACUCUCUCAAAUCUCUCUUUUGUGGUAUUUCUAGAUCCUUUCCAAGGCAGUAAUGGUAUAUGCCUUCUCUCAAAGUAUGUGGUAUUUUUGGUAUGAGGCAUAGUGACAUUGCCUUCUCUCGCACCCUACUCUAAUAAGGUUUUAAUAUCUGGAGCUCAUAGGUGGGAGACAGCUAAUACAUACUUACAAGACAUUUAUUGCAUAGUCAAACCAUAGAUCUAGAGAAACAAGUCAAUAAGUCAAAUCAAGAUGUGCAUUUGUGGCGAGUGAAUGGUGUAUGGUGAUGAUGGUGAUAACAAUGGUGAAAGUCUAAUUCUACUUUUGCUCUUUUGAGGGGAUACAUACCUUCCUUGCUCUUUUGAAACUUUUUGAGGAGAAUGAGGUGCUCUAUAUUUUCUUUUUCUUUCCUCUCAGUUGGGUAUCUUGUACCCCUAAUUGUACUAUCGGACACUUGUCCAUUUUUACCUGUCAUCUCACUUUUUCUUUUCUUUUGAAGUUCCGGGCACUUGCCCCUUUUUAUUUCCUCGUAUUCUUUCUCUUUUUUUAGAGCACUCAUCUCCUGAAAUAAUAUAGCAACUAGUAGUAACCAAGAUAACUCGAGCAUUUAUUUUACAGGGAAAAACAGAAAUAGGAGAAUGUUUUUGGCUAUUCUGUGUGGAUUAGGAGUAGAAUACUUUUGGGUGGCUCUGGAGAUGGAAAUAAGUGGAUAUAUGUGGAUGCAUACUUCCGGAGUAGAAGCAGCAUGUGUGAGUGAACGUGCAAGUGAAUCUUGAUUUAACCACAUGACAAGCUCCUAAGGGUCUACACAGCUUGACCACACUCAAUGCUCAUAAGCAGUAAAAAGUAAAUGUGUGGCUCAAAGUCUAGCAAGCAUGUAUAUAUGGCUAUGGUAGGAAUUUAAACUCUCAUCAUACAUGAACUCAUCAUGUGUUAUUUUAAAUAUUUUCAAAAAUAAAAUUCUCCAGAUUUCUAGCAUCUCUAGGAACAGAUAAACAACAGCUCAACCUUCCCAUAUCAUAUCCGUUAACGACUUAGACUUUAGAUCAAGUACUCUUCCCACAAGUUCAGGUUUAGAGCAGGUUUAAAUUAUAACAGUUAUGCCUAAACUUGAGAGAGAUUUCAAUUUUGAGAACUAAUCAUGGCGGAGCAACUGUUCAUUAUUUCCAUGUGAGAGCUUAUCAUAAGGGUUCAUAGCAAACUUUAUUUAUUUAUUUAUUUGGCAAACUAAGCAAAGAUUUAAGCAGAAAAAUUUUAUUUGUGUUUUUUAUGAUUAUGCAUCUUUUUAUUAUUUGAGUAAAGUAUAAACGCGAGUAGAAACACUUAGCUGGAUAAAUGGGGGUGCUCUCCCCCAAGCUGGAUUUUUACGUAAUUUAUUCUAAUGUAGCUAGCAGGUGGUGGAGGUGUUUUUGGAAAGUUGGCAGCACCCUGUCAGCGAUUAGGAUGUCCUCCGUCUCCUAGUCUUCUUUGAUCCUUGAAUUCUGUGGAGCUCAAAUAGACAACAAAGCUUUGUGGAACUGGUUAAGUGUAAGCAUAAAAUCUCUUUGCCUUUAUCAUAUUGAGCUUCCUCCUAAUAAAUAUUACUCUUUUUAGUAGGAUCAUAAAUUUAUUUUUAUAUUUUUAUUUUUAUAGGAUAGGAAUAUUUUUAUUUUUAUUUUUAUGCCACCACAGUGAAUGUACCUAUGGGUUUUAUGCCAUGAGCAUACUCACAUGGGGCUUACUAUUUUUAACAUUGUUAUUUUCUUUUCGAGAUGAUAUGAACCUGAUUAACUAAGCAAACUAGAAUUGAAAGAAAAAGGAUAACUACCAAGUUUACCUCUUGGCAAGGCGUUCGAUGUUUUUAAGUCCUCCGAACGGGACUCUCCAUUUUCUCAGUCGUCCUGGGAUUCGCUGGAUGGCGUAGUCGGUGGUUCCGGCGGCACCUCCUCUUCAUGUAUAACUAUCUUCUUUUCCUGACUCGGUGCUAUGGUCUCCUCAGGACAGUUCUGUUCAAGUUGUAUGUCUUCAGACCUUAUCACUUCUCCUUCGUAGUCUACCCAUCCGUCCUUGAUGAUUUGCCUCCUCUGGUUUCAGUUGCGUCGUCUUCUUCAGAGGAAAGUGCAUGUGGACUUCUCCGGUUCUAAUGAUGGCUUUGAUAGUGUUGAGGAACUGUCUUCCAAGGAUGGUAGGUGGAUCAUACUCGUCUUCUCCCAUGUCAAUGCCCUGAAAAUCAUUUGGAGCUGAAUGUAUAUUGGUUGUAGGGGCAUGGUUCUAUGCAGGAGCUGAUAAGUGACUGCGGCCAUUAUGUUGACGUUAGAUCCGCUGUCGUAGAGUGUCUUCUGAAAAUAGUAUCCGUUGAUUGUGCACUUGAUGCUUGGAACACCAGGGUCGUCCUUCUUGAUCAGGAAGAGCGACUUGAGUCGACGAUCUUGACAUCCUUGAGCUGCAGUGACCAUCUUAGCUGACUCGGUCAACAUUUGCUUGUUCCUGUUCCUCCUGUUGAUCCUCUUUCUUGGUUCAUGUCGAGAUUGUUGUGAAAUUUAUGUAGUUUUGUUCUUGAAGGAAAACGUCUCCUUCUUCCCCUUGAUGUAGAAACUGAUCUUGGCAGUACUAAUGUAGAUGACAACUCCCGAGGUGUUCAGGAAUGGCCUCCCUAGGAUGAUCGGUGCCCUCUCAUUAGUACCAGUCUCUAUCACCAUGAAGUCUCUAUUUUGUUGAGGACGGUUGUAGUAGUAGUUGUUGUUGUUGAUGUAGUAUACGUCCUCAAGCAUCUCAGGACAGUGAUUGCCUGAGUGUCCAGUAUCUCCAGUGUGUUUGUGCUCGUAGAUUGUGGCAGAACCACCCUAAUUAUAUGGCCCACAUGCACCUGUCAUUGUCCUUAAGACCUCUAACUACUGCACAUGAGAGUCAUAUAACUUGGAUAGUCUGUCGGGUGCCCUCGGAGGACCCCGAAUCAUCCACAUUUUAACUCAUACAGGAUCAACAUGGAGUUACCACAACAUUACAACAUUUGUUACAAAAAUAACUUACAUCGGAGUGUGGAAGAUUUAUAACUCAACUUACAACAUAUGAUGGAAUAUAAACAACUAAAUUUUCAAAAGGUGUGU